GUAUCGGUUCCAGCAGGGCCUGGUGAAGAAGCGCCGAGGCUGGGAGUAGGGGCCUCAGUUGAUGGAGACGGUGGGCUGGAGGCCGAAGGUGAUAGCGCUGGAGACUUAGCUUUGGUCUUGCUAGGGGCCGGAGCUGGAACCGUGGCAGGAGGAGAAGCCAAAGGAGCUGGUGGUGGGGUAGCUGGAGGAGGAGUAGCAGGAGGGGGAGAAGCAGGUGGUGGGGUAGCCUGAGGUGGAGAAGCCGGUGGGGGAGUUGCGGGAGGUGGGGUAGCUGGGGGAGGAGUAGCCGGUGGAGGAGAAGCUGGUGGUGGGGAGCUAACGGGCGGGGGAGUCGCUGGAGGAGGAGUGGAAACUGGUGGUGGAGAAGCUGUCACUGGAGGUGGUGAUGAUGUAGGAGGAGGAGUGGAAGCUGGUGGCGGAGAAGUAGUUGUGGGUGUUGGAGGUGGUUGGGUAGUAGGCGGAGGUGUGGAAGCGGGUGGGGUCGGCGGCACCGGCGUGGAUGUCGGAGGAUUACUAGGAGUAGGAGGAGCUUGGCCUAAAGCGCCAGCUACAGCAAUGCAAAACAAAGCUGAUAAGAACAAAAACUUGUUAUUAAGCAUCAUGUUGGAAACAAUGGUGACCCUUUAAUCCUGCACACCCUCUCCGCUUAAACUACGCCCAGCCGCGCAAGCAAAAGAGGGAGAAGAAUAGCAAGUAUGAGAAAUGAAAAGAUGGUGAUAUUUAUAUAGAGGAUAUGGAAAUUUCUAUAUCAUAUUUCAAUUUUAAAUCCCAAAAACAAAUAAUUUAAUAACAUUUUUAUUUUAUUACUAAUGGGAAAAUUAUAUUACUAAUCCUAUGCAAUUUUCUAUUUUAAUUUAGUGUAAUUUAACUCUUUCGUUGUGUUAUUAAUAGGUUCAAAAUUGAUAUUCGAUCGUACAAGCAGAGAUGUAGAAAUGAAUCAAUUUUGUUAAAUAAGCAAUAAAUCUCAAUCUUAGUCAAAUGCUUAAAGCUGUUAUAAAAAAAAAUCACGUCACCAUUUUAACAUUAAUAAGUAUCAAAUUAUAUAGAAGUAAAGGAUUAAAUCUCUAAUUUCAAUUUAGUAAAGGGACUAAACUGGAAUUAAAGGGUUAGAGUUUUUUCCUCGUUUGGUGAGGUAAAAUAAAAACCCUAGUGGGGCAUCACUUUGAUGAUUAUAAAUGAUGCGUUAGUUAGUCAUACUUUAGGUAAAAAACUGUAGGUGAGAUUAGUGUAGAUUGAAAUAUUUUAGUGAAAGGUUAAUUUAUACCUUAAAAAUUUUGCAAUAUUUGGUAGUUCCAUGAAAUGAUUCCCACUAUCAUCAACUUUUCAAUCAUUCAAAUAGGUUUUAAUUUGUUUUGUUGUGAAAUUUUUAAGGAGUCAGGUCCGGUUGUUAUAAAAUUUUAGGUUUGAAUUUGACUUGAAAAAUAGGUUUAAAAUUUUACUUAAACCCAGUCUAGAUAAAAAUAUUAAACUCAAGUCUGGACGUAUUAAACUUUUUAUAUUAUUAUUUAUAUAAAAACAAAUUUAAAAAAUAUAAUACAUCAAAUACACUAAAAAUAUUAAAAUAGAUGUUUCCCAACAAAUUGAAAAUACAUUAAAAAAGUUUUUAUACUUAGCAAGCAAAUGCCUCUAAAAUAGUAGCAAAAUUAACAAUAAAAGAGUUAUAUAAUAUCCAAACAAUAACAGCAAAAUAGUAGUAAUAUAAUAGCAAAAUGGCAACAAAAUAACAGUAGAAAAAAAAAUUUAGGCAAAUUCGGGCUGAGCUGUGUCAAGCCCAGGUAAAAAAAGAUCUUACCCGAGGUCGGCCCUUUUAGAAAAUGAGCCUUAUUUUAUUGUCGAAACUCAUUUUCUAGACCUAUAUUUUUCCCAAAUCCUCCCACUUAUGGGGCGAUAUUUAGGGCUUGGGCAGGUGGCUCGGCGCAUGAUUAGGUCUAACGAUGGAUUCUUUUGUUAGUAAUGUUUAUUUUGGUGUUUGAGUUUUUUGUGUCUUAAUUUGGUACCUAAUUUUGGCUUUAAUUUUUUUUCCAAUUAAGCACUUAAGUUUGGCUUCAAUGUUCAAAUUGGUACCUAAUUUUUUUUUGUCCAAAUUAAUUACCUAUAUUUUGUUUACCAAAGCACGUGUGUCAAACAUUCAUUGGGUCAUAUGAUGACAUUUGGCUUAGGUAUCAAAUGAAUAUCAAAUCCGAACUUGAGUACCAAAUUGAAACAAAAAACACAAAUACCAACUAAGUAUUGAAGCUAAUCUCAAAUAUGGAAUGGUAUGUUAGCCCAUUUGUAAACAAAAUUUCAAGGAAGACUUAAAAUUUAGCAUCUACUAAGCUUUCAGUUUCCCUUUUGUAUGUUACAAUUGAUGUUUGUUUAACGCAUAAACUUGGUAUCUUUUUUCCCGUAAUGAUAUUUAAGCUUUUUUUUAUACUUGAUAUCCAAACUUUCAUUCUGUCACACCAUUUUGAGCAAUUUUUGUACAACUAUAUUAAAAUCUGUAGUUUGGUUAUCUUCAACAUUAAGGAUUUCUACGACAUACUUUUUGCGCAUUCCUCCCAUGACAUUAAGAAGUAGGGAGGCGAAAGUGGUGGUGCUAAAAGGAUCAGUUUAUCUAAUUAAGUGGAGAGUUGAAAAGGGAAAUAAAUUAGGAAGGAGUAGGGGACUCACACAUCCAUAACAUAUGCAUAUGUUAAGAUUAAAAAUUUACACAACCCAAUUGCAAAUGGUGAGACUUGGACUUGGAUACUCAAGGAUCCAAGAUCUCGCCUUAACCAACAAUGUUAAGAUCUCAUUGACUCUUUUGGAGUUUUUUCAAAUUCAGGAUUAAAAAUUAUGAUAUAACUCAAUAUAAUAUUAAAGAGUAAAAAUUAAUCAAAAUUUACAUAUAUCACUCAUUUAAUCAUGUGUACAGAUAAAAGGAAACCACUCGUCCUCUUGCCAACCCUACGUGUAACAUAAUUCACUAUAAAUUCCAUUUACCAACAUAUACAUACAUACAUAAAUAUAAAAGAGAACUUCAUUGGUCUUGGACUGGAUUGGCUACAAACUUUGACAAAAGGCAUGUGUAGGAGGAUUAAAUUCGAUGAAUUGCAUGAUAGUUUCUCCUUUUUGAUAAUUUAGUACAUGAGAGAAUAAUGAUGAUUGUGGGGGGGGGGUGCUCCAUCGAAAUAGCUGGAAUUUAUUUAUUUUAGUGAACUGGCAAAUGUAAUUUGUACGCCAAGUUAUAAGGUGAAAAAGGGAGAAAUCAUAUAGAUUUGGUUGGUAAUGGUAUGUUGAUGUUGAAGCACCUGCGGUGCAACGCCACAAUUAGUAGGCCCCUACCCCCGCUGUCACCCCAUCAUAUGUGCUUUUGGAUGGAUCCAACAUUUUCGUGUUCUUUCCUUCUUCAACAUCAUCAUUAUUAAUUAGUUACUCUUCAAUUUCUAUAUGUAAUUUGCUUUCUUUUCAUUCAUAGGUUUUCUGUUUUUCUUUCUUUGAUUUUGUCUUGUGCACAACUGACGUCCUCCAUUAUUUUUCCCCUGACGUCCUCCAUUAUUUUUCCCCUUUUGUAUAAUUGGGUUUGUGACUUCAAUAGUCUCCGUUUGUAUGGAAAUUAUUUUAUGGAUUUUUUCAUCAUAUCAUUUACGAUAUAUUUUUAGUUAUUUAAUGAUAUUUUAGUAAUUUUUUAUACCAUUGAUACAUAAAUUUGUUAAUUUUUUUACCCAGAACCUUUAAUCUCGAACUUAGAACCCCGAACUCCGAAUCUUGAACCUUGAACCCCAAACUUAAACCUUGAAUCUUGAAACCCUCAAGGUUCAGGUUUGAGGUUCGAGUUCGGGUUCAAAGUUUGUAGUUCAGGGUUUGAGGUUUGAAAUUUAAGGUCUGGGUUUAGGGUCAAGGUUCAAGGUUCAGGAUUUUGGGUUUGAGGUUCGAGAUAAAAAAAAUUAUCAAAAUUAUAUGUCAAUGAAAUGAAAAAAAUUACUGAAAUGUCAUUAAAUAAUAGGAAAGAGACCAUGGAUGAUGUGGUGGGAAUGGUCCAAAAAUAAUUUCUCAUUUGUAUGGGGUAUUGUUCCUUAUCUAUUAUAAUUUGGUAUCUCUAUUUUUAUAAUAUUAUUAGUAAAUCCAAAUUUAUAACGAUGUUGAUUGCUUCAAUAAAAUGAUAAGGUGGAUUUUUAUAGGAAGAAAGUUAUUUGAGUUUAUUCGAAGUUAUAAUUUAUAAUUGUAUUACCAAUUAUUAAAAAUAAAUAACUUAACUCAAACUAAGUCAUCAGAAUAAAUUUGAUUGUGGGAUUUGAAUUUGAGCGCUCCUUAGGCUUCAUUAGCUUAUUUGGGCUCUAUUUACUAAAAGAAAAUUAUCAACAAAAAAAUUCAUGACGAGCCAUUAAUAAUUUUAUUAAUUUGAACUAAUCAAGUCGCUGAUCGAUUUAUCGAGAUAACUUUAGAGAAGAGUUUAGUUAUAUAAGUGUAUGAAAGACAUCCUGAAAGAAUUAGCAGUUGUUAUUGAGAUUGAUAAAGGAGUAAUUUAUUCCAUUAUGAUAGAUUGAUAUAAUUUAAUUGUGUUUUUUUAUUUAUUUAUUUUAAAAAGAGUAGAAGGACGUAGUAAAGGAAUUUUCAUGCAUCAAUAAUUUAUAAUUUAAACUAUGAAAUUUCAAAAAAGAAGAAAUUCAUGUUGAAAUUGAUACUAUCAAGCAAUUUAGAAGUGUAAAAUUUUCAAUAUCAGCUGGAUAUUUAAUGUCAAAUAAACUAAAGAAAUGAGAAAGACAAGCCAAUUGUCCACAAUGAUUAACUUGUUCCUAAAAAGAAAGUUGUACAUUGACUUUGCUUAUAAAUCAAUCCAAUUUUUUUUAUAUAAAAGGAAACAAUUACAUACUUAUAUUGAGUUAUUUGUACCACAACCCAUUUAAUUAUUAUUUUAAUUAUCGAUUGAGUCUUAGUUCAGUUGGUAUUGACAUUAUUAUCGGUGUAGGAGGAAUGGGUUCAAGUGUGCUGAAACGCAUUAUCCUCCUAUUUAAAUGUUGGGAAGGGACUAUAUGAUCGAGAGUAGAUGUGAUAAGAACCUAUAAUAAGAUUAAUGUAAUGCCCCCUCGUUCCUUUAAAUGCUACUUGAAACAUACUUAAUUAUUAUUUACUAAAAUAUUGACAAAUCUGUAAUUUGAAUCUAGAUUCUUAUCAUAUCGGCUCUUUUUGGUACAAUGCUUACAACUAUCCAUAGCCCCUCCCCAAUCAUUAAAUAGGAGGAUAAUACACUUCAACGCAUUCGAAUCCACAUCCUCUUGUACUGACAACAAUGUUAAUCAAUACAAUUCUAAAUACGAGUGUACUACUUAGAUAAUCAUAUCCAAGGUACACAUAGUUUUAAAAUUUGAUCCACACAUUUAAAUAGACCCCACCUCUGAUCUUAUCUAGGAUUUAUCACCGAAGCUGACGGUUAGACAAACAAAACAACUUGAUUGAUAUAAUAUUGAUAUUUUACAGACUCAAUCGUAAUGUUUUAUAGUUCGAGAUGAACGUAGAAUCGUGGCCAUAAUUAUGGAGGUUUGGCUGAAUUGACUCUAUUUCUAAAUAUAUCAUGGUAGACAUUCAAUAUUAAAAAAAAGAUAAAGGGAUAAUAUAAUAACCCAAAACACCAAAUUUUGGUUGGUUUAAUUUGCAGCUUUAACCAAUGCUUUUGCUUGAUCCAUCAAUUAGUGAGGAUUUCGAUCUAAAUUAGAGGGUCCCAUUCGGUUAUUAAGCUCUUUUUCCCCCCUCGUGAUUGCCAUAACAUGGGCCCUUACCCUUUUAACUUUGCUUUGGUUUGGUUUGAUUUAAGGUUUAUUCAUAAAUUGUCCCUUAAACUAUACCUCAAUUUUUAGAUUGGUCCUUAAAGUUUUUUCUAUCAAGAGUGGUCCCCACACUAUCAAAUCUAUCUCAUUUUACCCAAAAAGCUUACGACAUCCAAUAAAAAUAUUUAAAAUGUGACACGUGUUACAUUCUUAUUGGUUAAUAUCAUUUUUUGGGUAAACUAAAAUAAAAUGAACAGUUUAAUGAUCACUUUUGAUCAAAUAAAAAAGUUUUAAGGACUACUCUAGGAAUUGAGAUAUAACUUAGGGGUUAUUUUGUUAAUAAAGCUUUGAUUUAAUUCAAUAGAGAAAUCAUUAACACUGAAAGAGUUUUCUUUAAUUUACUCAAAUGGUCUUUUUGUUUGUGUCACCUAACAUUUUGAAGAACAUCCUUUCUCUGUGUACCUCAUACAAUUCGUUAAUACGAAAAUUUUAUGAUUUUUUUAAAAUAAAUUUAAUUGUCACUUUGCAUGUUACAAAUACUUUUAAAUAAGGACUUUUUUCAUAUGAGAAUACCUUUAAUACCAAUUAAAAAACAUCUUAAACUUAAUUUAUCUAAUUUCUUGGGCAGGGACCUAGCCCAAAAUUGGUAAAAUUAAAAUUAGAUCUUUCUAAUUUUGAAGCACUAAAAUUGGAUUUCUUUUAAAUUGUAAAAUUAUAAAUUUAACCCUUAAAAAAAUUAUAAUUCAACUUUAGCCUCUAAUUUUUUUUCUCUAACUUACAUCUCCGCCUAAUUCAAUAUAUUUUAAAAAAAAAUUGACUACAAACAUCUAGACAUUACCAACAAAAAUAUAUUUAUAAUUAGUAUUUAAUAUAAAAUAUUUUAAUUCUAUAAGCAAUUUUCAAAAUUUUCAUAUAUCUCGAUUUUUCUAUAUAUAUUUUUUUAUUUUUAUUAAAUCAUGAAUGAAAUAUAUAUUAUCUUUCGGAUUCUACUUAUAAAAUCUAAUAACUACACUAAUAACGUAUUAAAUCAUUUUAUGUAUAUAUAUAUAUAAGUUCAAGUGGUCCAUAGGUAGCUUAGAGUACAAGGGAUUAAGUUGAGGGCCCUUAUCAUUUUCUCCAAAUGUGAAGUGAUGUUAACUGCUUAGCUUCCUCCUCUUGCCCCAUUCAUUUUCCUUCCUUUCCACAAUAUAUAUUGUAUAAAUAUUUAUGGGUAAUCGAUUGAGUCUUAACUCGAUUAGUAUGAGUAUUGUUGUCAAUACAGGAAGGCGUGUAUUCGGCACAUUAUCCUCCUAUUUAAGGGUUGGGAGGCUAGGAGUAGUUGUAGAUAUUAUAUUUAAAAAAAACAGAUAUGAUUAAAACCUAUAAUGAGAUUAUUAAAAAAAAUAUUUAUGGGUAAUCAGUUUAUACAAUUUCAAUUAGGCGUAUAAAUCCAAUCAUUAAUCAUUAAAAUGUUUUACUUUAUGCCAUAAUAUUGUUUUAACUGCAGAAGCAUGUGGGUUAAUGAAAACUACUUAUAGUAUCUCAAUUAAAUGUAAUCAACAACCUCAACUCAUAUCUUCCUUCUCUCUCUCACUCUCAAUUAUAUAACCUACUAAUAAUUAACUUUAAUAACCCACUUUCAAGUACAUCUCAGGCUACCUGCCAUACCAAGCCUAAAGCUCCUAAGAUUUUCUAAAAGGUUUGCACAAAAAUACAAAGAUUUAUAGGAUAAUGGAUUUGGGCAAAAAAUUAAGCUUAAUUAUUUAAAUUAUAGGUUGAAUUUAUCGAUAAGUCAUGUUAAACGUAAUGGUAAGAUACAUUUGUACUCUUAAGAAAAGAAUGUAGAUUCAAAUAUUAAAAACGAUAUUGUUAAAAAAAACAAUCACAAAUCUCAAACAUGAGUCAUAAAACAGACAUGUAAAAUACAUUUGGACUCAUUUAAGAUUAUUAAAACAUGGAUAAUUUAACUCAAUAUUGCAAUUUAGUGUUACAAUAUGAUUUCGUGAUAAAAUCAAUAAUGUUGAUUUGUAUUAUUGUAUUAAGUAGUGCAUGAAAUGUAGGAUUAGAUAAAUUUGUAUAAAGUGCAUGCUAAAAACUGUUUUGAAGGCUUUAUAGAAUUCUUUUCGCUUAAAAGAUAAGAGUCUACCUGAUCAGCUAAGGUUUACAAUAUUGCUUAUAGGUUUAGCUUUCAAUCGAAUUGAGUGAAAAUUUUUUGAGUUAAUCGAGUUAACGAGUCCUAUUUUAUCAUUCUAACACAAUUUGAAAUUUUCUCGAAGUCGAGUAAAAUGAAAUUCAAGUUAAGUCGAAUCGAGUGAAAUUGUUCGAGUUAAAUUAAAAAAUUAAACAUGUCAAAUUAAAAUCUUAUUACAGUAUAAUUAAUUUCAUGUUAGAGCACAUAAUAUUGAAACCAUAUAUAUUUGAAAACUUUUUCAAAGCAAGAUAAGGAAAAAAAAUACUUUAGUAUAAUAAACUUGAAUCAUUAAUUAACUUAUUUAAGUCCCCAAAAUUAUUAUUUUAGAACAUUUUUAAAUUUUUAACUUUCUUUAUAUAUUCUUUAUAAUUUUUUUUAAAAAUAUAAUUUUUGGAAUUUUUAUAAAUAUUUUGAAUUUUGAAAUUUAUUUUGAUUUUUUUGUAUUUUUUGUUGAAAAAGACCAAUUUGCUCAUUUUCAAAAUUGACAGGGAUCAAAAGGGUAUUUAUAUCAAUCUAUUACUCGAAUUAUUCGAGUUAUUCGAAUUGUAAAAUUCUACUCGACUUGAACUCAAAACUCGAAUUACUUAUUAAAUUUUACUCGAAAAAAUCAAAUAACUCGAUUCAAUUAACUCAUAAUUCAAUUUUUAUUUUAUUUUUUCAAAUCGAGUUUUGUUCACCCCUAAUAACUUAUUAGCAAGAAUUGUUCAAUUUUAAAAUACAAGCUAAUAAGAUUAUUUUAUCUUGAUAUUAAAUGCUAUUUAUACAACUUAUAAAAGAUGGUCGAUACACACAGAUGGGGUAGACUUUUUGAGUGUUUCAUUUUUUUGGUUCAUGGAACAUUUUGCAAGGUAUAUACACCUUGAUACCUUUGGUAUUAUUUGGAGAGUUUUAUUCAUUUGUAUGCAAAUAUGUUUGCGGUAUGUGAUAAUAUUUUGGGAGAGUGAGUGUAAAGAAUUGCAUACUAGUGAAACUACUUUUAUCUACAUUUUGCAAGAUGGAUACACCAUGAUUAGAGGUGUACAUGAGUCAGGUCGGGUCCAAUCAAAAUUUUAGACCCAUUUGUUAGGCUUGGGUCCAGAUAAAAAUAUUAAAAUUUAGGCUCGGUCCGGCCCGCCUGUAUUAAUUUUUUAUACAAAUUUAAAAAAUAUACAAUACAUCAAAAAUAUUAAAAAUAUUAAAAUAAAUGUUUCUCAACAAAUUGAAAAUAAAUUUUUAAAAAAUAUAUACUUAAAUAAAACUAAGAUAGGUGAAACUUAACAAGCAAAUGCCUCUAAAAUAGUAACAAAAUUAAUAAUAAAACAAUAGUUAUACAAUAUCCAAAUAAUAACAACAAAAUAGUAGCAAUAUAAUUGUGAAAUUGUAGCAAAAUAGUGAAAAACAACAAAAAAAAUAGCAACAAAAUAAUAAUAAAAAAACAGAAAAAAAACUGCAAUUUUUUUUUAUUUUGUAUAUUCGGGUCGGGUUGAGCCGGGCUCAAACCCAAAAAUCCUUACUCGAGGCUCAGCCCGUUUUAAAAUAAAUAUUGUUUAAUUAAUUAAUUAAAAAAUCAAUAGUGUUUAAAAAAUAUCACAAUGAAAUAUUAAAUUUUAUAAGAUUUCAUAAUUCUAAAAAAAUAAAAUAUGAAAAUGUUUAAAAAUUUUAUUAAUUUUUUUAAAAAAAUUAUACAAAAUUUUAAAAAAAUAAACAAAUACUACUAAAAGGUUUUAAAUCAAAAUUAAAUAUAAUGUAAUUAGAAAUUUAUUUUUAAAAUAUUUAUUUUAUUUUUUUAUAAAUACUAUUAAAUGUUUUUAACGGUAACAUAUUUUAAAAAGUAUAAUAAUUUUACAUAAAAAAAUUAUGUUUACUAAUUACAUUUUUUUUAUUUUUUUCCUAACAUAUCAUUAUCUGCAACUUGUCAUAUUAAAGAAUUGAAGAUUUAUUUGAGUAGUUAACUUUUUUACAAAAAGAACUAAUUAAUUUAUUAUUUUUAUAAAUUGUUACACCCCAUACCCGGUCUAGAUGUUAUGGCCGGAUCUUGAGGAAUUACAGAAGUUCAUUUUAAAACUAGAUUUUUAAUUUGAAAUCGUAUAAUAGAAUAAUGUUAACUUUGUAAAAUCGCUUUCUGAUUUUAAGGGAAAUACUCAUUUAAACUAUUUCUUUUAUUGCAGAAAAACACUUCAGUGAUCACUUCAUUUUGCAGCGGAAAUUUUCUAAGUUAUAAAAUAUUGAAAACUGUGGCUUGGUUUGUAAAACAAAUAAUUUUGCAGUUUAAAAAUAUAACAGUUGCAAAAUCCGUUAAAGCAAAUCAAAACAGAAAAUAAAGUCCCAGAAUAAUUUACAGUCCAAAAAAUUCAUAAUAAUUACAUUAACCAUUUUAAUUUAGAGAAUCUAACCCAAGCUCCCACACGUCGUCCAAUAUUAGGUUUCCUAAUCACCUGAGAUGAUAAAAGUAAAGGGUGAGCUAACAAGUUUCAUGUGUAACUCAAUCCAUACAAACAACACAGAUACAGUAACCGAUACGAAUAUAGAUGCAACUACAGAUACUAAUACUGGUUCUAUUUCCAUUCGCUACACACCAUCUUCAUCCAUCCCUACACACGAUUAGGGUAUUAAAUAUCCAUCCAACCCACACACCUAUAAGUGAGCAUAUGUCAUUUUUCAAAAUAGUGCAAUCAAGCUACCAGAAAUAAUGCGGUAAUCCACCAGAAUUAGAUAAGUGUGGUAAAGCCACCAGAAUAGAUAUGUGGUUUAAACUACCAAAUAAGGCAAAUCAUUAAAUUGUCAACACUUCCUCCAUCAUAUCAUUAUCCCACCCCAAUGCACAUGCAAACACUAAUUAGAUAAUAGAUACAUAUAAAUUGCACUAACAAAAGUAAAAUAUUAGAUUUCAUAUCUAUAAGUCAUACAUAACACAUUACGGAACCUAAGAAAUGGCAAACCUCGAAUCGUACUUCAAAUACGGCCCUAACUAAAUUUUACAAAAAAUGGGCUCACACGCCUGUGUGGCCCACAUGAUCUGGCACACGGCCUCACACAUGCUCAUGUGGCCCACGGCCCACUUAACUUAGCCCGUGUGGCUUAUACAGUUUGGCACACGGUAGUGUGGCGUCGACAGUGAAUUUUUUGGCUUCGAGAUUAUCGUUACACACCUAGUCGUUUUUCGAUACUAACACCACUACAAGGAUUCUAGAACCUAAAACAACAUUUAACACGAACAAUUUAGAAACUAUACACUAAAUAUAAGCCACUAAUUCAGCCACAACCACUAACAUUAGGCUUUAACAAGCCAAAAAUUAGUCUUUCGGACAUUUGGUUACUUACCCAGAACAAUAGCGACAGUCCUAAAAAUCUCCUAAUUCACUGAAAAGACGUCACACGCCUCACAAACUUCUCCUAUUGAAACAUAACAUGUCAUACGGAAACGAAUUAACCUUACUACUGAAGAACACACUUACGAGACUUGCACUUGAACAAAAAUACGAAUUCCUUGCUCGAACAUAGCACCACGAUGAUUACACGUCAGAAAAUCAAUACCAAAAUGAUUUAAACACAGGACCUCUAAGUAAGCUGAAGUCUUACCACUGAACCAACAAGCUCAUUUUUAUCAUUAAUUGAGCAAAAAUAAUAUAUAAGCUUAAUAUCCAAAUCAAGGGUUGGGUCAAAAAUUUUUUUAAAAAAAUUAAACAAAAGAAUUUGAAGGCCAUUUUACCAAAAUAGUCCAAAAAAAUAUUAUAUUUACAAAAAUAACUCAGGUUUAAAAACAAUCACCAAAAUAACCUAAAAUGAACAGUACCCACUCGUUUUUUGCACCCAUGAUUGCCUAAUAAUUGUGUCAGAAUUAAAAAAAUUAAUUUUUUUGGGUUUUGGCCUGUCAACGGCCGGAACCCAUGUAUUUUUUUAAAUUGUAUAAUAUUGAUAUACGAAAAAAGGAAAAAAAGAAAAACGAAAAAAAAAAUUUUGGGUGCUGGCCUAUCAAUGACCAGCACCCAGUACAUAUUUUUUAAAAAAAAUUCUUUUUUUUCGCAUCAGAAUCAGAUAACAGAUAUCAGAUAUCAGUACAAUUUAAAAAAGAAUUCUUUUUUUUGUGUCAAAAUCAGAUAUCAAUAUACGAAAAAAAUUAAAAAACAAAUUUUUUUGGGUGUCGGCCAUUGAAUAGCCGGCACCUAGUACAAAUUUAAAAAAAAAAAUCUUUUUUUUUUCGUGUCAAAAUCAGAUAUCAAUAUACGAAAAAAAUUUAAAAAAAAAUUUAGGUGCAGGCCUGUCAAUGGCCGGCACCCAGUACAAUUUAAAAAAAUUUCUUUUUUUUUUCGUGUCAGAAUCAGAUAUUAGUAUACGAAAAAAGUAAAAAAAAAAUUUGAGUGUUGGCUAGUCAAUGGCACGAAAAAAAAUUUGAUAUUUGAUUCUGACACAAAAAAAAAAGAAAUUUUUUUUUAAAAAUUGUACUGGGUGUCGGCCAUUGACAGGCUAACACCCAAAAAAAAAAUUUAAUUUUUUUUUGUAUAUUGAUAUCUGAUUUUACCACGAAAAAAAAAAGAAAUUUUUUUUUUAAAAUUGUACUGGGUGCUGGCCAUUGACAGGCCAGCAUUCAAUUUUUUUUUUUUGUAUACUGAUAUCUGAUUCUGACACGAAAAAAAAGAAAAAAAUAAUUUUAAUUGUACUGGGUGCCGACCAUUGAGAGGCCAACACCCAAAAUUUUUUUUUAAUUUUAUUCGUAUAUUGAUAUCUGAUUUUGACAUGAAAAAAAAAUUUAAAAUUGUACUGGGUGCCGGCCAUUGAAAGGCCAGCAUCCAAUUUUUUUUUAAAUUUUUUUCGUAUAUUGAUAUCUGAAUCUGAUUUUGACACGAAAAAAAAAUUAAAAAAUUAUACUGGGUGCCGGCUAUUGACAUGCCAACACCCAAAUUUUUUUUUAUUUUUUCGUACACUGAUAUCUGAUUCUGAAACAAAAAAAAUUUUAAAAUUUGUACUGGGUGCCGGCCAUUGAUAGGCCAACACCCAAAAAUUAUUUUUUUUCGUUUUUCGUAUAUUGAUAUCUGAUUCUGACACGAAAAAUAUAAUUUUUUUUUGUACAUUCCGGCACCCAAAAUUUUUUUUUCCUUUUUCGUAUAUCAGUAUUAUAAAAUUUAAAAAAAUACAUGGGUUCCGGCCAUUGACAGGUCAAAACCCAAAAAAUUAAUUUUUUUAAGCCUGACACAAUUAUUAAGCAAUCAUGGGUGCAAAAAACGAGUUGGUACUGUUUAUUUUAGGUUAUUUUGGUGAUUGUUUUUAAAUCUGGGUUAUUUUUAUAAAUAUAAUAUUUUUUUAGACUAUUUUGGUAAAAUAGCCGAAUUUGAACCUAGAACCUCAUACACACUAACACAACACAUAGCCACUAAACUAGAUUAAUCACUUUGAUAAUUUUUAACAAUUCAAAAAUAAAAAUUUUGGGGCGUUACAAUAAUAAUAUGGUUUAAAUUAUUUUUUACAUCAUUCAUAAAAAUUAUAACAAACUUACAAAAAGAUUUAAUGAUAUUUAAUUAUUAACGGGUAAAAAAAUUAUAUCAUAUAUCAUAUAUAUUCUAUAUUUAUUAUAAUAGUUUCAUCUUUCAAAUUUUCUUCCUCAUAAUUAAAGCAUAAGUUAUAUUUAUAAUAUUAUAAAAUAUUAUAUUUAAAAAAUUUACACACACAAUCAACCUAUGCAUAGCACGAGAUAAGAAAACUAGUUUAUCAAUAUGAACGAGUUUACAUAAACUUUAAUAUACAAAAUUCGAGCUAAAUCUAGCUUCAAUUUUUUGGUCAACUUCUUUUGACUUUAAAUCUUACUUCUUCUUCUUCUUUUGGCAUAACGACUUAUUUGGCACAAAAACAAAAGUCAUUUUAGCUUUUUAUGUAUUUUUUCACCAUUUUUAACCUUUAAACUUACAUUUUUUGUCAAAUCGCUCCAAAAUGAAUCGGUAUGUUAAUGUUUUUUAACUUUGCUAAUGUUGCAUACAUAUGGAUUGCUAUGUGGAUGACACAUCAACAUUUAAUUAAUUUUAAAAAAUAUAAAAAAACUAUUUUUAAAAAUUAAAAUCAUUAAAAUUAUCAAAUAAAUAUAAAUAUUUUUAAAAAUUAAUUAAAUGUUGAUGUGUCAUCUACGUGGCUAUCCAUACGUAUGUCAUGUCAGUAAAGUUAACAAAUAUUAAUAUUUUCAUCCAUUUUGGAAUAAUUUGACAAAGAAAUAGAAGUUCAAAAACUAAAAAAGAAAAAAUUAAAUAUAAGACCAAAAUAUAUAUUUUUAAAUUGAAGGACCAAAUAAAUGAUUAUGUAAAGUUGUGAAUAUUAAUCUUACCAUAACAAUCAUAAUUCGCUUAUGCUUUAUUCAUUUUUAGGGUUUUCCUUACUAGGAGUCUAGGAUACUUGAAGGCAGAUAUUAUUAUUAUAAAUAUUAUUAUAUAUUAAAUUAAUUUUUAUGUUUAAUAAUUAAAUUUAAACAUAUUUUUUUAAUUAAGGAACAAUAAUUUGGUCCGGAUGCGUCCUUGGACAGUUUUGUAAUUUCCCAAGUUAUUAACUUUUGUUUAGGGUUUAUCAUAGUUAGGAAUUAAUUGGCCUAAUUUCUCAACUUAGAUUUGAUGAUACGAUUAAAAAAUAGGAAAUAUCAAAAUCUGAUAAUAUGAAUUAUUUGUUGACACCUUUUUUUUGAUAAAACGGGGUCGACUUGGAUUUUGAAAACGAAAACGAAAAUGGGAGUCGCCACCAAUCCUUUUUGAUGAGGUGUAAUCGGAUCACCUUGAAAAGUGGUUGUUUUUAAUAAACGAUUUGAUUUUGUUAAAACAACAAUUUUGGUCCACGAAAUUCAGAAAAUCAGGUUCGGGAGUCGAUUACGUACGAGGAAGGAUUAGCACCCUCGUAACGCCCAAAAUUGGUACCUAGUUGAUUAAUUAGUGUCAUAGUGUCGAGAAUUGGAAACUUUGAAGAGAUUCAAAAUACGAUCCUUGAUUUUAAAAAACUUAUAUAAAAUAAGUUACUCGUUAAGACCCUCUCAUUUCGGAAAGAGAAAAUGUCACACCCAAUGAGUUAGGGCAUAAUAUUUCACUUCCUCAAAAAUGAGCUUAUCCAAAAAAAAAACUCGUGCAAUAAAAUUUAAAAGGAUAUUCAAUUGUUUAAGUCAGAUGAGGAAAUCGCAGCCCAAUACGUUAGGGCACAAUUUCUCAAAAUUCUAAACAUUGAAUAUUACCUUUAUUAUUUUUAGGAAAAUCCUCAUCUCGAGAAAACAACGUGUCAUAUCCAAUGCGUUAGGACACAACGUAUUGAAUUCCCGGUAAUGAGCUUUUUAUUCAUGUGUUUUUUUUAUUAAAGAGCAUUCUCGACUAUUUAGAUUAAACGAAAGAAAUUGGAACCCAAUACGUUAGGGCUCAAUCCUCUCGAAGAUCCCAAAUACCGAGUAUUGCCUUUAUUUUCAAAAUUUCCUCUUUUUACAAAUUCGGGUAAAAAUUGAUGUAAUAUUAAAUUUGAUAUAUGAAUAACAGCCGCAUUAAUAAAUGACAAUAAUGAAUAUGACGAUGUAGCAUAAAUAAUACAAGCAAUAGUAACGAAAAUAAAUUAGAUAAAAAUGAGAAAUCGAUGACAUACAAAAUAACAAGUAUAUAAGCAAAUAAAAUUAAAACAUUCUUUUAAAAUAACAAUGAAAAUGUAAAUAAAUAAGUAAAUAAAGAAAAUGAAUAAAAUUAUAAAAAAAUUUAAAAAGAUAUAUAUGUAUGUAUAUUAAAAUAUAUGUAUAUGUAUUUACAAAAUAUAAAAAAAUGUAUAAGUACAUAUAUAUAGGUAAAGUAUGAAAAUAUGUGUAUAUAUGUACAUAAAUUAAAAUGCGUAUAUAUAUAGGUAUAUAUAUAUAUAAAUGAAAUAUGUAAGACUAUACUUAUAAUGAUUUAAAAAUGUACAUAUAUAUAUUAUAGGGACUGUAUGUAUACAUAUGUAGGGAUUAUAAAAUGUAUAUGCCUAUAUAUAUAUUAGAAAUAUGCAUGCCUAUAUAUAUAUAACAAGAUUUUGGAAUAAAAAAAAAAGGUGUAACCGAAUAAAUAAUAAUAAUAAGUAAUAAUAUAAUAAUAUUAAUAGUAUUAAAUAAUUACUUUUAAUAGAAAAAUAACUAAAAUAGCAUAUUGAGGAUUAAAUUGAAAAUAAACGGAGUUUUAGGGCUGGAUUUAAAAAUGGAAAACACAAAGGGGACCGAUUUAUAACACACGCGAAGUCCAGAGGAUUGAUUUGGAAAAUAUCCCAAGCCCUACGCGUAGCGUUUUGAUGCGGACUGAAAUGAAACAUAAGAGAAAUUAUGCAGCCGAAUUAAAAAAACAAAAUGGGACCAAAUUGCACUAGGCUGCGAAAGAGGACGGACCUCUAGCGAAAUAUCCCCCUUCACUGCAGAAACACGAGGAUCCUGAGGGCGGACGGGUCGAGUCACGGGUCAGGGCCAAAACGACGUUGUUUUGGCACCUGAUCCCUAGUUGCAAAACGGGGCCAUUUUAUUUAGGGUAUUUAAGUAAAAAAAAUUGAAAAAUCAAUACAGCCACCAUUUAAAAAAAAUUCAAAACCCCUCCCCUUUUAUCUCAAGAUCCGGCUCUCAGUCCCCUCGGCCUCCGUCGCCCCGCCUUUCUGCUCGCCGCACCGCCACCGUAUUCGACGACCGACGAAGCGCAAGAACGGGCGUUCGAAGCCUUGCCCCGGUGAGUUUCCCCUUUCCUUCUUUUUUUUUAUUUACCAUAUAUAAAAAGAAUUAAAAAUAGAAUAAAAAAUAGGGAUACACUAUCAAAAUAUGGAUCUUGUUCCAAAAUCAAACAAUCACCUUGAGAUUGUUGUGUUUCUUUUUAUUCUUUGUGUCUUUUUGAUUUUCUGAAAUGUUCAAAAGAAAAGAAAAAAAAAACCCUUACAAUCGGUUUUAGAUUGCUUUUAUAGUCAUUUACAACACUUUUUUUUAUCUAUUUUUCUAAUGUUUCUCUUGCGUGCAUGUUCUUCUUUGUAGGGAGUGGUUGGCGCGACAGGGAGGAGCGGUGGUGGUAGCUGAGGCUAGGGAUAGGGUGAGGUGGCUUCUGAAACCCUAGUUUGACUAUUGGGUCAGUGGGUUUUGGGUUGUAAUGGGCUAGUAUUUUGGGUUUAAGUUUGGGUUUCAAUUGGGCUAGGGUGUUUUGGGUUAAAUUUCUUGGACUGUUAAUUUUUUAAUUUGUUUGGGUUUUAUUUGUCUGGGCCCGGGUAAAAAUGGGCUUGUACAUUCUUAAUACUAGUUUUUUUUAUAUGAGUAAAUAGAUAAUUACUUGAACCAAUUUAAUAAAAAUUAAUAUAUUAAAAAAUAUAAUGUCAUCAUUUUAAUAGUUUAUAUCUUUAUAAAUUUUAAAUGAUUAAAUUAAAUUUUUAUUAUUUGAGAGGUUAAAGUACACUUUUACUAUUACUAAUUUAAAAUUUUAUAAAUUAUAAAGGAGACUAAAUAAAAAAAAAUCCAUUUUAGGGAGGCCGGAAAACCUUGCCAGCCUCCCUGACUUCACCAUUAAAAUCUAGAAUAUGCUCCUCACUAUGCGUCGGAAAAUUAAAGAUUUAAAAUUAUAUUAUCGUGUAAUAGAUAUAAUGAUUUUAAUUUUUUAAAUAAAUAAAUAAAGUUAAAGUUAAAAUCAAAUCAAUGUGAUCAAUUGUACUAAAUAUAGAUGAUUUAAGACAUGAUGCAAAUAAAGCAUAGUAAAAUAAUUAAUAUAUAGCAUGCCAUGAUAACAAAUGCGAAUUUAGAGAGGCAGACAAGGGUUCUUUUACUAUUUAGGUUUUUAAGUUUUUUUAAAAUUUUAAAUUAGUAAAUGUAAAAUUGUACUUUGCCCCUUCAAGUUAUAAAAAUUUGAUUUAAUCUUUUAAAAAUCUGGCUUCGCCCCUGCAUGAUAAUAAUAUUAAUACAACACAAAUACACAAAAAAAUCAAAUUUUAUACAUAAUAAUUAUUUACUUGUAUAAUUUUGUAAUAUUUUGAAUACAAAGAAAUAACACAAACAAUUUUCUCUAAAUUGAAUCACUCAAAUAAAAUAUUUUAAAUAUCUCAUAAUUUUAAAAUGUAGUAUAAGGAUAAUUUUAAAAAAUAAUUUAUUAUGAUAAAUUAUAUAAAUUAAAUAAAGAAACAAUACUAACCCAAUAUAAAAGAAAUGUAAUAAUAAUAUCAUAAACAAUUUUUAGUUAAUUAAACAUUGGAUAGCUUCGCUGGAUCAUGUCCUGGCUUCCUCAUGUAUAAGAAAAAGCCUCACAUUGAGGGGCCAGUAGACGUUUGGCCUUCAAACGAUUGACUAAUUUUUGUCUUUUAAUUAGAAUUUGGCACGUUGAUGAUGGGAGGAAAGAAAGGAAAGCGUGAAAUAGAUUUCAUCGUGGUCUGGGUCAUUCGUCCAGAUUCGAAGGUCUACUUAAAAAGUGAGAAAGUUUAAGUAAAAAUAUAGGCUCGAAAAAUAGAUUUCGGCAAAAAAUAAUACUCGUUUUCUAAACGGGUCAAGCCUCGGAUAAGAUCUUUUGAUCUGGCCUGGCCUGAAUUUGCCUAAAAAAAUUUUCACUACUGUUUAGUGUUGGUUUGUUGUUGUUUGCAGCCAUUUUGAUGUUGUUUUGUUAUCAUAUUGCUACUAUAUUACUACUAUUUUGUUGUUAUUGUUUGGAUAUUAUAUAUCUCUUGUUUUAUUAUUAAUUUUGCUACUAUUUUAGAGGCAUUUGCUUGUUAAAUUGCACUAUCUUAGUGUUAUUUAAGUAUAAAGACUUUUUUUAAUGUAUUUUCAAUUUAUUGGGAAACGUUUAUUUUAAUGUUUUUAGUGUAUUUGAUGUAUUAUAUUUUGGGUAGACUACCAAAAUAGUCACUUUUGUUUACCUCGGGUUACAUUUUAGUCACUUAUGUUUGAAAUGUUAGGUUUUAGUCACUUACAUUAUCGUUUUGUUACGAAAUGGUUGUUACUCUAUCAUUAAGAUUUGUUACUAGUUCGUGAUAGAAUGUGCAAGUGUACACAGUCGUUAUCAAGUAAUAAGUAAGUAAAAAGAGUUAUUGUCUCCACAGGGACUGUGUUUAAAUUGAUAAUUGUAAAAUUACUAUUCACAAGUUGGUUAAAAAAACACAAUAUUUUCAAGGUGAUUGAUGUUAGAAUUAAAUUAAUGCAAAUGAAUUAACCUAAAUGCAAUGCAAUGAAAUAAGAUGCAAUGAGAUGGUUUAGCAACAAUUUCAUAAGUUUUAACAAAAAUAACACGAAUGAGCUAGAACAACUACAACACUUGACUCAAUUAGUAUGAUGAUAAUCAGUAUGUUUUUUUCACCUUCAUGUUGGAAAUUCGUCAUGCGUAAUUAUACACGUAGACCUUUAAAUUCAAUAAUGUGUGAUUGUCAUGUGUGGUUGUCAUGUGUGGAUUUUAAUUUACACUAUAGCAAAACAGGUUUUUAGCGGCGUUUAUAGCGGCGUUUGAACGAAAAGCGCCGCAAAAAAUCGAGCAUUAGUGGCAAAUUCUAACAAAUGCCACAAUAUGUAAGCAAUAGCGGUGCUUUUACUAAAACGCCGCAAAUGAUCAAGCAUUAGGGGUGCUUAUAGAAAAACGCCGCAAAAAACUUGGGAAAAACAACGCCGUUUGCUUUUUCCAUUAGCGGCGAUAAUUAACAAACGCCGUAAAAAAUCUAGAAUUAGCGACACUCUUUUACAAACGCCGCAAAAGAUCGAGAAUUAGUGGCGUAUUCUGUAAAACGCCGCUAAAGGUCAAACAUUAGCGGCGCUUUACGAAAAACGCCGUAAAAAAUUUGAGAAAACGACAUCGUUUUGUAUUUUGAGAUUUAAUGGUAUUAGCGGCGCAUUUUAACAAAUACCACAACAGAUCGAGAAUUAGCAACGGUUUUUAUGAAACGCCGCUAAAAAUGAGCAAAACGAUUUCGUUUUUUUGUUUAGCAUUAGCGGUGUUUUUUAAGAAACGCUGCAAAAAAUAGUUUUAUUUUACACUUUUUGGUUUAGGGUUUAUGGUUUUAAGGUUUAAAGUUUAAGGUUUAGGGUUAGUAUUUAAGGUUUAGGGCUUAGGGUUUAUGGUAUAAUGUUUAUUAUUUUCGGAUUAGAAUUUUGAGUUUUGCGUUUAUGGUUUAGAGUUUGUGGUUUGGAGUUUAAGGUUUAGGGUUUAGUAUUUAAGAUUCUUUUUUAAUUACUUUUGUCCCCUAUAAUAUCUAUAUUUAGGGUUUAGGGUGUAUGAUCAUGGUUUAGGGUUUAAGGUUUAUGGUUUAAGAUUUUAAGGUUUAGAGUUUAGUUAAUACGGGAGAGGUUUAUGGUUUUGGAUUUAAGGUUUAGGGUAAUUUAAGAAUUAUGGUUUAGGUGUUUAGGGUAUAGGGAUUAGGGUUUAAAUUUUAUGGUCUAGGGGUUUUAGGAUUUAGGGGUUUUUGGGUGUUUAGGAUCUUGGGUUUAGGGUUUUUUGUCUAAUUAUGAAUUUCAUCCUUCUAUCUUAUAAAAAAAAAGUUAAGCUUUUUUCUUUAAUUCAUUAGAAUUUAAUCUUUGUACUUUAAAAAAAACUAAUUUUAAAAUAAUUAAUAGAAUUAUUAAAAUUUUAAGAUACCCAAAUUAAAUUAUUUUUUAAUAGUAGAGGAAGAAUUGUCUUCCAUCAUUGUAUUCAAUUUUAAAAUUGAACAAUUAAAUAAUGUCAUAUUAAAAAUUUUAAAAAUUUAACAAUUAAAAAUAAUGUCAUAUAUAUUAGUGUAUCAAAUUUUAAUUUUAUAAAAUCGUUAAAUAUUUUUCAAAUAUUUAACGGUCGUGGCGUUUGGACCAAAAACGCACUACACCAAAACAGACUUUUAGCGGCGCUUUUUUAGGCCUUUAGUGGCGCUUUUUAGCACCGUCGCUAGACCAAGACCAUUAGCGGCGCUUCUUUCACAAACACCGUUAAAGACCAUGACCUUUAGCGGUGCUUUUCCCACAAACGCCGCUAAAGACCAAGACCAUUAGCAGCGCUUCUCGCAAAAAUGCCGCUAAAAACAUAACCUUUAAAAAAUUUAUUUUAAUCAAAUUAUAUUUAUUUUUAUGAUAAAUAUUAUAUUUUGUUUUAUUUUAUUUUCUAAAUUUGAACUUUAAAUAUACUUUUAAGGAUAAAUAAAAAAUAUUAUUUAAAUUAAAUUUUCUAUGAAAAUUUUAACUUUAAAACUAAAUAUAAAAAUUAAUGAAUUUAGUUUUAGAAUUUAAAAUAAUAAAUUAAUAACACAAUUAAAAUCCAAAAGUUAGAACUCUUAAGGAAAAAUAAAAAUUUAGAAUCAAAACUAAAAUAAAUAAUACAUAUGCAAGGUAAUAAAACAUACAAUGCAUUUUCUUAAUCAAGUAAAUCUUGGUAAUAAAAUAUAUAAUACAUUUAUUUAAUCAAGGAUCUCUUGUAAUGAACUCAAAGCAAUGAGCGUGAAACUGAAAGCAGCAGAAUCGUAAUGAACUCAAAGCAAUGAGCAUCAGAAUUGAGAAGAAAAAAAGAAUCACGAUACGCAAACGAGAUCCAGAACUUCUGUUCCUUUGGACGCCCACACUGGAUAGUCCCCGCUUCAACGCCAUUGGCUAUCAGAGCCUAAUAACAACAAUAGCAGCAGCAAAAUCACUCAUCAAAAGGUGGAAAAAGGAUAAUUACAAGUUAACAGUGAGGAGAUCGCAUGAAACUGAAAGCAGCAGAUCCGUAUCGAAGCUAGUUGGAAUGGAAAUCCAUGGGAAAGCAAGCAUAGAUUAAAACUUCAUAGAACUUUCUCUAAAAACUUCAUAGUAAACUGCUUCAGUCUACUUUUUAUUUUACUUGUACAACAAUUACAUGAUAUGCCAAAAUAAAAAAUAUGGGUCUGCGCCACAGAAUCCAUAAAAAACUUCAUAGAACUUUCUCUAAACUUUUACUUGCCAAUGUUGUCAACCUUUUUUCAGGAAUUUGGAGCAUGCAGAAACCAUAUAAUUUAGCUAUCCCAUUUUACAGUGAAAGCUAGGAACACACAAGAAACAGAUGAAAAAGGAUAAAUCUAAUACCCGUAAAGCAUCAGUAACUUGGCGUCCUUGUAGCCCAUCUUUUUGCAGAGACCAUCUAUUCUCAGCAUUUUUCUUCUUUGAAAAACCCGUAAAAUAUGGGUUUUGGUGUUAAAUAAUGCAACUGCCAUCAACAUCAAGGUCGAAAUCAUAGCUUAUUCUUCCAUGUUAAGAAAAGUAUGCUAAAAAAUGAGGGUUAGAAAAUAAAAUAAUGCCUGGUUUGAAACAUACACCAUUGAUGUAAGAAUAGGGUUAGAACUCUAUGAACAUUAAGCAAAAUAGCCAAUUUAAAUUCACUUAACAACAUUAAGAAAAAUGAUACAAAUGCAAAAAAGAAAAAAAUAAUAAAUAUAUACAAGACAAACAAAAGAAGAGAAGAUUAGUACUAAACCAAUGUUCCCUUACCGAGAAGACAUGAUUUCUAAUCAAUGAAUUAGUGCCACAAAAUAAACAAAAAGAUCAGCGGCACAGGCACAGAACUUGCGCAUUUUUUAACUGCAAUUAAAUCCAGUUCCAUUUUGCAUAUAUAAAAAGAAAAUAUAAGCUCAAUGUGCCAAAAAAACUAAUAAAAUUUGAGCUCAACUUAACAAAAAUCAAAGUGCAGCCAAACAAUGACUCUAGUUCUGACCUUAAUAAUGGCCAACUAACUAAAACUUCCUUCAUACCAAACAAAGACAGUAUAUCGAUAUUCUUCAUACCAAACAAAGACAGUAUAUCGAUAAGCUUAGUGCUAAAGGCCCGAGCAUUAGCGGCGCUUAGCAUUAGCGGCGCUUCUUCAAAAACGCCGCUAAAAGCCCCAAAAACUCAGAAAACGGUGUCGUUGGGCUUUGGCUUUUUGCAGCGCUUUUUAGAAAACGCCGCUAAUGCUUAUUUUUAGCGGUAUUUUCUGAAAAGCAUCGCUAAUGCUCUACCUUUAGCGGCGUUUUUAUAAAAGUGCCGCUAAUGCUUGAUUUUUAGUGACGUUUUUUGCCCAAACGCCGCUAAAAGCUUGUUUUUGUGUAGUGAUGCCACAACAAUGUCUUAAAAAUUAUACAAAACGGGGCCGUUUGGUUACAAGAAUUUAAUUUUUAGUGGUGUUUUUCUCCACAACGCCGCAAAAGGUAUGCAAUAGCGGCGUUUGUUAUAAAAAUGCCACAACAAUGUAUUAAAAAGUGCACAAAAACUGCGUCGUUUGCUAACAGGAUUUUAACUUUUUAGUGGCGUUUUUCUCAGAAUCACCGCAAAAGGUAAGCAUUAGCGGCGUUUUGUCUAAAAACGCCGCAACAAUGUAUUAAAAAUUGUUCAGAACGGUGCCAUUUCGUUUCAGAAAAUUAAAAAUUGCUCAGAACGUCGUCGUUUUCUUCCACAUAACAAUUUUCUUCCCCUUUCCCGCACCCAGCCCCUAAUUCCCCUUCCAAAUCCCUAAUUCCCCUUCGAAAUCUCUUCCAAAUCCCUAAUUCCACUCAUUCACAGAGACGAACCUGCAGAACUAGCAUUGGUUUUAUUUUUGUUUCUUCGAUUCUUCAUUUCGUUUUUUACUUAUUGGGAGCAUCUAUUUCGAUUUCUUCACAACAUUUAGACGAAGACAGAGUAAACGACAUUCUAUUUUUUGGGUAAGCUUGAACCAGUUUCAUUUCCUUUUUUUACGUGUUUAGGGUUUGGGUUAUUCUUGUUUGUGUGAAUUUUUUGUUUUUUUCAAAGUUAUUGACCCUGAAAUCCAGUUAAUUUGUCUUUGGUUUUAGGGUUUCCGAUCUGUAAAAACGUUCGCAUUUCACACUUUUACUCGUGGAAUUUGUUCUGAAGUGAUUUAAUUUCUUUUCAUCUUCCUAAAGGUAUUUUUUUCUUCUCUCUUAAUUCUAGUUUUAGCAAUUUAGUCUAUUUAGGGUUUAAACCAUUUACUGUUACAUUUUGACAAUAAAAUGCAUGCUUUCGAGUGCCUGAAUUUAUUUUGUAUUGAAAUAUAUUUUAAAAUAUAUCAUUAGUGCAUUAUUGGUUGCUUUCUCAUGCAGAUUUAGCAAUUUAGUCAGGCAGAGGCAGAGUAGUAGUUUUUUCUUUCCAUUUUGAUUGUAGCAAUUUAGUCGGCAAAUUUGGUAGCUCUCACUGGUUUGAAGCAAUACACAGAAAGUCUAGAUAACCAGAAGGUUAGUUAAUCCUUUAUUUUCUUUUUUUUUCAUUUUUUAAAUUUACGUUUGAAUUUGGUAUAUUUUUAGUUGGGACUGUUUUAUUUAGGAAUUUGGUUAAUGUUGCUGCAAGUUCUUUUUUGCUGCAAGUUCUUUUUUGCUCCAUUUUCUACUAAGUGUUGUAUGUUAAGAUCGGUUAUGGAAUAUAUUUGCAAUUAUCAUACAGUAUUUUGGUUUUUAAAAAUCCAAAUUGAAAUCAAAUUGAACCGAACCUUUCACUGGUUUGAAUCGGUUUGGUUCAUCAAUAAAUACAUAAUUUCUUUAAAACUUUUUUUUAUAUUAAAGUUACUUUCACUCGUUUAAAUAUGAAGUUUUUAUUUUCCCACUGUGAAAGUUUUUAAUUUUUAAUUUUUGUUUGGAUAAUUUUGGUUUAUCAACUUGUGAAAUGAAUUGAUUAAACGUUUUUAUGAAUCGAAUUUGUUUCAAGUUCAGAUUUGAUUUGGGUUUGUUGUAAUUAUAUAUUUUCAAAUGAAUAAAUAAUGCAUAAGUUUACAAAACAUAAUGUGUUAUUGCUCACGAAAACCUAAAAGAUUAUGUCCGAAUAAAGACAAAACUGCAGCUAUAGUCCAUCAACAUCAAAUUUGUGGAAGGACUUAAAAGGAUUAUGCUUAAUGAAAAUGGUUGCUAUAAAAAUUAUUUUUUUGAAUAAUUAUGAGUAAAUUUUUUAAAAAAUCGAUCUACUCUAAAUUUAGUGUAUGGCAUAUUUUGUAAAGAUAUACGAUAAAUACACUUGUCAAUUUUUUUAAUUUCCAUUUUAAAAUUGCCGCAAAAACAACUCUUUUUUAUUAGGAUUUAAUUAAAUUGAUUUCAAUCGGCAAAGUAUGAUGAAAUUCUUACUAUCAUUAAAAAAAUAGGUAAAUGUUAUGUUGUUGAGAUGUUUUAGGUUGGUUAAUAUUGGUUACGAUACUUUAAUCACCUCCAAUAUAUAUAAAAAAAAAUUAAAAAUUUGAGAAUUUAUGAAAUGAUAUAAUGUUAAUUCGUUAGCAUUAAAUAUUCUUAUUAUGUUACAAGUCAAUUAAAUUGAUGUCUUGAGCUUUGAUUUAAAUUAAAAAAGAAUAAAUUUAAACAUUAGAACGGAAAUAUCUAUAUUAUAAUAUUUGUAUCUAUAUACUAUUAUUUUAGUGUUUUAUUGAGUUGAUGUUAAUAUUUAAUAUUUUUAAAUGUUUUUAAAACUUAAAAAAUAUAUAUCAUAGCUUACAUAACUUACAUAACUCGCAUAACUUAUAUAUAUCAUACCAUAACUUAAAUAACUCACAUAACUUACAUAACUUAAUAACUUAUAUAUAUUGUCGAAACCAUUUUUAUAAAAUUUGAAAAACGGGGAUCGACUUCGAAAAUAAAAUGGGAGUCGCCACCGAUCUUUUAUUAAGGUGUGACCGGUUCACCGUUAAAAUGAUUUUGGUCUGCGAAAUUUUGAGAAAAUAAUUUCGGGAGUCGGUUACGUACGAGGAAGGGUUAGCACCCUCGUAACGCCCAAAAUUGGUACCAAAUUGAUUGUUUAAUGUCUUAAUGUCGAAAUUUUGAAAAAAUUUUGAAAUACAAUCCUCUGAAGUUUAAAUUUGAAUAAACCAAAUUGCAUAAUAAGACGCACUUAUUUCGAAGAAAUAAAUUGCCACACUCAGUGAGUUAGGGUGCAACAGUUCAAUCUUUAAAGUUAGAUUUGUCCUUUUAGAUUUUAAAAAUUCACGUGUUUUGAGAAGGAUAUUUGGUUAGUUGGGUCAAUCGAGAAAUUGGAAUCCAAUAAGUUAGGGUUCAAUUUCUCGAGAUUCCUAAACACCAAAUAUUGCCUUUAUUUUAAAAUCGAGAGAACAAGAUGUCAUAUCCAGUAAGUUAGGACCCAACAUCUUGAAAUCUCACAUGCUUUAUUUUGAAAUUGUAUGGUUUUAACAAAAUAAGCACUUGGCUAUCUAAAUUCAUCGAGAAGAGUUGAAGCCCAGUAAGUUAGGGCACAACUCACUCGAGAACCAUGAACACUAGGCCUUUUCUGAAAAUUAUGAAAUAAAAUGAUUGUGGUGCUUUGAUAAAAUACAAUUUUUACAAAUGAGACAUGAUUGAAUAGUAAUACAUAAUAUAAAAGAUAAAAGAUAAAUAGCAACACAAACCUACACUAAGACGUAACAAGUAGGUGAUAGAUAAAUACAAAUAGCAAUAAUGAUUUUAGUCAUAUUAUACUAAUACCAACAUCAAUGUUCGAAAGCUAAACAAAUCUAUCAUCAAUUUUAAGAAUACACCAAGAUAAUAAAAAAAUGAAAAAAAUAUCCUACGUAUAAAAGUUUUAAAAUAAAUUGCAUGCAUGAACUCAAAAUAAACUUGAAAUAAAAUAAUAACAACCUUGAAAAAUAGUAUAUAAAAAAAAUUAUAUAAACAUUUAGCAUAUAGAUAUACAAAAAUGAAUUUUAAGAUAUAACCUAAACAAAACAUUAAAAUGUAUACAAAUUAUACCAAAUUCUUAUAAAAAUAUACAUAUUAAUAAAUAAUGAAUCAAAUAAUAACAUGUCAAGUUUGAAGAUAAAAAUAUAUAAUAGAUAUUAAAAAAAUAAUAUAUGAUAAAUUUAAAACAUAUCAAUAAUAAUUUAAAAUAAUAGUAUAUUACAUUUUAAAAUUAUACUAAUAAUAAGUUUAAAAGUAAUGUCAAACUAAAUAUUAAAAUAUGCUAUAAAUAAAUAUAUUAAAAUAAGUACUAAAUUCGAUUUAAAAUUAUACUAUUAAAAUCAAGUUAAAGUUAAGACAUAAUUUAAAUAUAAAGAAAUAAUAAUAAUAAUAAUAAUAAUAGGAUUAAAAAUGAUAUUGGAAUUCAAAUAAAAAUAAAAAUAAAACACUACAAAUAGAAAUAAAAAAGAAAAAAUAAAGAUAAACUAAAUUGGUAAUCGACGUAAAAAAUGAGGGACUAAAAUUGUAAUUAAACGCAUGACCUGGGCAUUCAAUCCUAAUAAUGAAAACGACACCGCAUAACUAUGGAUCAAAUUGAAAACAAAAUAAAAUACACGAUUCAAAAUAAAAAAAUGAAGAAAAUCAAAUCGAAACAUCACAAAACAAGAGGGACUCAUCGUGCAAAUAGACCAAUGAAUAGAGACGCGCGAAUCCUGCCCCAGGUCGGGUCACCACGUUGGUCUGAGCCUCUAAACGAUGUCGUAUUGUGGCCACUGCACAGGCUCUGAACGACGUCGUUUCUUUCACUACUUAUAAGUAGAACCCUAGAGCAAUCAGCAAUUUAUUUUAUUUAAAAUAAAACCUUAAAGAUUUGAUUGCUGUUUUCAGCGCCGUUCUGUGAUGCAGUCAUUCGAAAAGGAACUUCGAAUCCUUGCUCAACCUCCGAUUGCGACAGAGAGAACCAGGAUCCGGCGGCCAGGUAAGUUCUCUUCUAACUCAUCCUUUUUAAAAAGAAAAGAAAAGAAAAGUAACAUAGAUGGAUCCCCUCGCCGCAUCUGUGGAUCGACUACUCAGGAGAUCCUCAGCCUCGUCCGACCCUGAUUGCGACGGAGCGAACGGAGACCGGGUAAGCCUCUCCUUUCCUUUCUCUCUUCUAUUUUAGUACUAAUCAAUGAACAAAGGAGCAGAGAAAAAAAAGAAAAAGCAAAAAGAUUAACAAUCACCUUUCGAACUUUUCGAUUUCUUCGAAUGAAUUUUUUUUGUAUACAAUAUGCAUGUGUGAUUUUUUUUGUCUCUGUGUCCUUUACAAAGGCCUUGCCUUUUUGUUUUAUAGGCCGAAAGAAAAAAUAAAUAAAAAGAAUCCAUUUUUUCGUUUUCUCUGCUGCGUUUUCUUCCCAUUUGCAGGUAUGGCGUGCGGGGCUGGGGACGUGGCAUGUACGGAGGCGCGCGCGAGGGAAAAGGCUCAGAACGUACGGAGGCUGGUCACGUGCGGACAAAAGGAGCUGCUGCGGCGCUGGGGUUUGCCCUAGGGUUGCUCUGUAUUUUUCUUGUUGGGCCGCUUCGUCAUUGGGCUAGGGUUUUAGAAAUUUAGGUUGGGUCUGGGUUGAAUUUGGGUUGUGAUAUUGGGCUUAGUGGGUCUGAUGUAUUUUGGGUUUGUAAUAUGGACUGAUGGACUUUUAAUAAUUUUGUUUUUAUUUAUAUUUUUUUUAUUUAUUUAUUUCUGAUUUGGACCGGGCAAAUUUGGGUUAUUACAUAUAUCAUACCAUAACUUAAAUAACUCACAUAACUUACUUAACUUAAUAACUUAUAUAUAUCAUACCAUAACUUAAAUAACUCACAUAACUUACUUAACUUAAUAACUUAUAUAUAUCAUACCAUAACUUAAAAUAACUCACAUAACUUAACUUAAUAACUUAUAUAUAUCAUACUAUAAUUUACAUAACUCACAUAACUUACAUAACUUAAUAACUUAUAUAUAUCAUAUCAUAACUUACAUAACUCAGAGAACUUACAUAAGUUACAUAACUUAAUUAUACUUAUAAAUAACCAUGAUUACCCGUGUAAUUUAUUGUCAACUUUAGACUUCAAUAACAACGAAAUGGACUGGUCUUGGAUGAAUUUGUCAAGGGUAAGCAACGACUAUCGAAAUGGAGUACAAAUUUUCCUAAAUUUUGUAUUCCAAAAUACAAGCCAAGAGAAUAUGAUUCUUUGCCCGUGUAAGAAGUGUGGCAACAUCAAUUGGCAUUUUCGUGAAGUUGUCUAUGAGCAUCUAAUUGCCGAUGGGUUUCUUCGGGGGUAUAAAGAAUGGAUUUUCCAUGGAGAAUGCACACCUAGUACUUCCUCUUCAACGAUUAAUCUGGCUCAUCCUCAUAGUGCUUACCAUCGGUCUGUCAGAGAAGAUAACAUGGAAGGUCUGUUUCGAGAUGCAUUUACUAUGCGCAAUCAUGGUUUGCAAUCAUUUUCACCCGACUUUGUUGUAUCCGAUGAUUGUAAUAUCGGUAGAAAUGCUUUUACCCAAACGGAAGAAGUAUACCUAAUGAAUAGCCAAAUGGAGAUGCGGAAAAGUUCUACACGCUGCUUAAUGAAAUGAAUGAAGAACUUUAUGAGGGAUCAAAAUUUUCAAAAAUGUCCUUCUGUAUUUGUCUUUUUCAGUUAAAGUGUUUGGGAGGGUGGACUGGAAACUCUUUGACAAUGCUGUUAAAGUUUUUGAGAGAGAUGUUUCUGUUUGCAAAAACCUCUCAUUCAUGCAAAGAUAUGAAGAAACUGAUAAAAGAUUUAGGCCUUGGGUACAACAAAAUUCAUAGUUGCUCAAAUAACUGCAUGUUGUAUUGGGGUGAUCGGAAAAACCAACAGUGUUGUCAUGUAUGCGGCCAAUCCCAUUGGAUAAAUAGAAACAAAAAAGAUGGGAAUGACGAUGAAAAUGAUGUACAGUAAAGAAAGAAGCUAAUUAAGAUUUUACGAUAUUUUCCGCUACUACUAAGGCUUCAAAGGCUUUUCACGUCGUCGAAGAUAGCCGAGUCUAUGACGUGGCACCAUGAUGGACGAACCAAUGAUGGAUUAUUAAGGAAUCCGGUGGAUUCUUUAGCUUGGAAAUCAUUUGACAGUAAAUUUCCAAGCUUUUCAAGCGAUCCUAGGAGUGUGAGGCUUGGGCUAGCAUCUGAUGGAUUUAAUCCUUACAAAAUCAUGAGCACUGCGUACAGUACUUGGCCUGUAGUGCUUGUUCCUUACAAUUUGCCUCCAUGGAUUUGUAUGAAGCAAUCUUCCUUUUUCUUAUCUAUGAUUAUCCCUGGAAAGAAAGGUCCCGGAAAUGAUAUUGACAUUUAUUUGCAGCCACUUAUUGAAGAGUUAAAAUAAUUAUGGGCUGGUGUUGAGACAUAUGAUGUACUGAGAAAGGAGAACUUUAAUUUACGUGCAGCUUUGAUGUGGACUAUUAAUGACUUCUUAGCUUAUGCCAAUUUAUCUGAUUGGAGUACCAAGGGACGUUAUGCUUGUCCUUGUUGUGCUGCGCAAACAUGUUCGCAAUGGUUAUAUAAUGGGAAGAAGUACUCUUACAUAGGACAUUGUCGGUGGUUACCGGGAAAUCAUAGAUUUAGAUUUUAGAGUACUCUGUUUGACGGUACUGAAAAGUUCAGAGAAGCUCCUUCGCAGACCGAUGGAUCUGAAAUCUUGUUCAUGUUGAAAGAUAUGAAUUUCAGUUAUGGGAAGAUGAAUCAACCACCCAACACGCAAAGAAAUAGAAGAUCAAGAGAUGAAUCUGAUGAUGAAGAGGAUGAAGAGGAUGAUCCUAAUGAGGCGGACUUGUGGAAAAAAAGAAGUAUUUUUUUGAGUUGCCUUAUUGGGAGCAUCACAUUUUACGACACAAUCUUGAUGUCAUGCACAUUAAGAAAAAUGUCUGCGAGAACAUCAUUGGGACAAUUUUGAAUGUCGAUGGAAAAUCGAAAGACAAUCUUCAGAGUCGACUUGAUUUAGUCCACAUGGGAAUUCGGCGUGAUCUUCAUCCCCAAGCACUUCCGAAUGGGAAAUAUCGGUUGUCGCCUUCUGUUUUUUCAAUGUCGAAGACGGAGAAAGAAGCGUUCUGCAUGGUGUUGAAGGAUAUAAAGGUCUCAGAUACGUAUGCAUUAAAUAUAUCUCGAUGUGUGAGUAUUAAAGAUCGAAGACUAUAUGCCUUAAAAUCACAUGACUAUCACAUCUUGAUGCAAGAUUUACUGCCAGUUGCUAUGCGGUGUUGUAUGUCGAAAAAGGUGACGUCUGGUAUAAUUGAACUAUCCAAUAUAAUGAAAGCCAUUUGUGGCAAAGUUUUGGAUGUUCAAGAACUUGAGACACUACAAGAUCGAGCCGCAUUGACUUUAUGCAAUUUGGAGAAGAUCUUCCCACCUUCUUUCUUCACUAUAAUGGUGCACUUGCUAAUCUAUCUCCCUCAUGAAACAAUACUUGGUGGACCCAUUUUCUAUCGAUGGAUGUAUCCCAUAGAAAUGUGUUAAUUUAUUUGUAAAUUAUUCAUUCAUUCACCUCUAUGCCUUUAGUUACAACUUUUGAUAAUGUUGUAUAUCGUAUUUAGGUUUCUAUCCAAAUUGAAGUCUUAUUGCCGCAAUAAGCGUUAUCCAGAAGACUCAAUUGCUGAAGGCUACUUGGCUGAGGAGUGUAUGACUUUCUGUUCUAGAUAUUUGGAAGAUGUUGAAACAAGAAUAAACAAACCAAGUAGAAAUGAUGGGCUCACUGAUCAUAACUUGGCCAAAACUUAUUUAUUUCAAAGUUAUAGAGAACUAAUCGGCAAAGUUGAAAUUUCAGAAUUAGAUGAUAGAUCGUGGCUACAAGUACAUCGAUAUGGUCUUUUUCACCAUGAUUCAAUGGAACCAUUACGCAAGUAAGUUCUAGAAUUUGAUAAAUAUUCAUCAAUUACAAUUUGUUUAUCUUCUAACAAAGUAAACAUCUUUUUAACAUAGUGAGUACAAACAAAUCUUGAGAUCUCAUCCACGCUCCCGAAGAUUACAACAUCGAGAGAUUAAUAAGUUAUUCACAAAAUCUUUUCAUGAAUGGUUAAGCCAAACAGUAUGCAAUUGAAGCUUUCAUUGACAAAUAAUAAUAUUUUCUCAUAACAUUUAUAAUUACUCAAUUUACCUUCGAUUCAAUAGGUUUGGAGUGGGAAUGACGUAAAUGACGAAGUUAAAUGGCUUUCUCAAGGUCCGAAUAGAGUAGUAAAAAGAUAUAGUGCCUUCCUCAUCAAUGGAUUCCGAUUUCAAGCAAAAUAUCGGGAGAGAUUGAGGAGAACUCAAAAUUGUGGAAUAGUUGUUAAUUCUUCUAUUACAAGUUAUGCUAGUGCAAGGGACAGUAAUCCUGUUGAGGGAAAUGUGGAGUAUUACGGACUUCUUACUGACAUUAUUGAGUUGGAUUACUAUGGCAAAUGGAAAGUUGUCUUAUUUCGAUGUGAUUGGGCUAACGUUAAUACUGCUCGUGGAAUUAAAUAAGAUCAAUUUGGUUUUACAAUGGUGAAUUUCUCUCGAUUGAUUCACAUUGGACAACAAUUGAUAAAUGAGUUGUAUGUAUUUUCUUCUUAAGUGAAACAAGUUUUUUACUCAAAAGAUCCAACUGAUAAGGGUUGGUACGUUGUACUCCGUAACAUCCCUAGAGACUUGUUUGACAUGGGCAAUGGAAGUAGAGAUGACAUCGACGAUAGAUCAGAAACUUUACCUUUUUCAGAACAAAACUUAAAUGAAAAUAUCCCUAGUACUAGUACACAAUUUCAAUGGGUUCGUCAAGAUGUUGAUGAAGAUAUUUACGAAUUAUGAUGUAGUAAGAUUUUACGAUUUUUUAAUUAUAUGUAAGAUUAUAAUUUAAAUAUUGGUCUUAUUAAAUAUUUCAACUAUUUUAUAUGUGUUGUUAUUGUUCUAAUUAGUUACUAAAAUUUCAACUAUUUUAUGUGUAUUGCAGAUAAAAUGCCUAGAAGAAGAUUGUGAGAUCUAAGUAUUGUUCAAAAUACUCCAAACUCGGAAGAAACAAAUAGUGAACAACUGACUGCUAUUGGAUCUUCGAAUGUUCCGAAUACACCUAACGAACUUGCAGAAUUUCAAAGUAUGUUUAAAUUUAAUUUACAUGCGUAAUGACUUUUAUUAUUGAUUUCUUUUUCAAAUUCUUAUAUUAUAAUAUAUCAUUUUUCAGCUGAAAGUGUGGGACGCGCAGUGGUCGAAGACAUACACUACUUAAAGAUUUAUACGAGUUAGAUCCUGUCGAGCGUGUCAAAGUAUGUAGAAACAGUUUUGGUCAGCCUGUUGGAUCAGAAGCUCGGCUUUUAGCAGAUAUUUGGGCAUUAUAGCACGAAAUGCCAAUAUGUUGCCUAUCAACUACGAGUCAUGGCAUCAAAUGUCAAUAUUAAGGUAACAAAACCUUAAUGUAAUUUAUAAUACUUUGGUUUAAGUUUCAUUUAUAUUACUUUCUAAACUUGUGUUUUUUGUAGGCGAUGUUUGCUUUAGAGGUCUCGGAUAAUUAUGUCAAGAAGGCAUUGGGAAAAAGGUGGAGAGACCAUAAAAUUACUUUAAAGAAAGAAAAUUUUUAAGACAAAAACAACCCUCGAAGAGAAAUUGCGAAAUGUCCCGCUGGGAAUGUUGAGGUACCAAUGGAAAGAUGCGGUUAGAUUUUGGAAUUCAAAGAAAUGAGAGGUAUUACGUACUUCCAAACUCUUAUAACUAUUUCGGUUUAUAGUAUUUACUAUAUACGUAAUAAUAAUUUCAUAAUGUGGGAUCGUGAACGAGUUGGAACAAGCAGCAGGCAAAAACAGAAAUUCACUCACAUAGCUGGGUCGAAAAGUUUUGUUUGUGUAGUUGAGGCCGAGAUUUUUUGAAUUUAUAAAUAGUGUAAAAUAUUUAUUACUUUCCAUUAAAUAAUAUUUUUACUACUAUAUUGUAGGAACUGUCGUCUGGUCAAAAAGUUAGACGCCUUCAACUUUUUGACAUUACAUAUGGGAAGAAAAAUGGAUCUCCUAUGACUUCUGAAGCUGCAGAAAUUAUGGUAUGUUUAGUUAAUAAAAUUUUAAUUAUUUUAAAUAUUUAUAGUGUUUAAUUAUAAUGGUUUAAUUCAUCGUUUGUAAUGCAAAUAAUGUUAAGUUAUGUUGCAUUUGUUUUUAUUAUAUAUUUCGUUUCUAACUCUUUGAUUAAUUUAUUAGAAGAAACUAAAGGAUAAAAAGGCAGAGUAUGAAGCGAUUACUUCGAGUGAUAGUUUUGUUAAUGCUCACGAAAUUGAUAAUCGGGUUAUUACUGAAGUUUUGGGUCCUGAAGGGUAUGGACAGGUUCGAUUUCAAGGAUCUUUUGUUAAUCCAACCCAAUAUUUUGGAUCCAGCUCGCAGCAAUACAUGCUUUCGGGGAGUCAAGCUCAAGUUGAAAUUCAGAGGUUAAGAGACCAGAUGACUCAGAUGCAAGCGAACACAGUUGAGCUAAUUACUCAACUUAAAGCGAAUGCAGCAUCGAGAGAAGCUGAGGUUCAAAGAAAAAAUGAAGAACUCAAGCUACAACUUAAAGAAGAGGUAGCAGCGAGGGAAGCAGAGCAGAGCAGAAAGUACGACGCACUCUAACUACAGCUUCAGAAUAUGAUGAAGAUGUUUCAGCAGUCGCAAAAUCUGCCAUCUUAGACUAUUGUAUGAAUAUUUUUAACAUUUUAGCUUUUAACAUUAUUGUAUUAUACUUCAUUUAUCAAUUUAUAUCAUAUAUCAUUCGUUGAAUUUGAAGUAUCAUUUAGGUUGCUGUUUUUGGUUGGUUUCUAUGUUACAGGAAGGGUUGCAUAUGGAUGAAAAUUGGAUGUUAGAAAUCUGCCAAAAUUAGUGGCGUUUUCAAUAAAAGCGCCGCUAAAGAAUAUGACAUUUAGCGUCGUUUUCUAUAAAAGCGCCGCUAAAGAACAUGACCUUUAGCGGCGUUUCUUAUAAAAGCCCCGCUAAAGAAUAUGACAUUUAGCGGCGUUUGCUAUAAAGGCGCCGCUAAAGAACAUGACCUUUAGCGGCGUUUGCUAUAAAAGCGGCGAUAAAGAACAUGACCUUUAGUGGCGCUUAUCUUUAAACGCCGUUAGAGGUUAUGAUCUUUAGUGGUGUUUGUGGUAAAAACGCCGCUAAAUAUCAUGUUCUUUAGCGGCAUUUAUGUGAGAAAAAAGUCACAAAAAAUAACGGCAUGGUCUAUAGCGGCAUUUUUUGCGGCUCUUGUGAAAGUGCCGCAAAUACUUUUAGCGGCGCUUAUAGGCCUAAAAAAUGCCGCUGAAAGCCUAUUUUGCUGUAUUGUUAGUUUGUUAAGUUUACUCUGGAUUAUACCAAUUUUUAAUUUAUUUAUACUUAUAAUUGUUUGAUUCUAUUUUAUGAUUACUCGAAUAAUUUUUAUUGUAAUAAUUUAAUAUUUAUAAUCACUCAAACAUAUAUUUAUAUUGUAGUUUAAAUACUUAAAAAAAUUUUCAAAUCAAAAUUUGCUACCCUCUUCCUUUUCCCACACAGAUAGGUAAUUCCUUUUCUAUUUUCUUUUUCUUUUUAUUAUAUUAAUACAUUCUAAAUAAACUAAAUAUUUUAUAUAUAUAUAAUACAAGCUCAAUUCAACAACUUAUAUUUACUGGUUUAGAUAAUAUAGUUGAUAAGUUUUAACCAAAACACCCAACUGAGAAAUUUUUGUCAAAAUAUGCCUUAAAUUUUCACAAAAAAUAAAUCAAAUAACGGGAGGAUGAAAAUGAAUUUAGGUUAGAAUAAAUUUAAAUAUAACCAACUCAUGAUUUAAGUAUUGUUGUAGGAAUUAGAUCGGAUCAACUGAUUGGUAUAUUGAUCCAAACAAAAAAAUUCAAUCUAUUUUUGAGCAAACACUUAGAAUCAAUUGAACUGGGGCAGAAAUCAAUUGUAUCGAUUUUAUAAUUUUUAAAGAAUUUUUUUUAUAUUUUUAUAAUUUUAUGACUUAAUAAUUUAUUUAAUUAAAACCAAAUCGACGAUGAAACCAAAAAUCGAUGUUGGUGUGGUUUUUAAAAUCAUAGAUUUAAGUACUUAUGACAUCAUGUUCUCAAAAACUCAAACCUUUAUCAACAUAUAGAAUCGAAUCGAAUAGCGUUUUCAUCUCCCAAGUUUCUAUACAUAAACUAUGAACACUGAAUUAAACAAUACAAAAAUGGUAUUCUUCUUCCACUGACAUUUGAUAUCGGCUUCAGAAAAGGCAAAAGACAAGAAUAAAGAGAUAAAACAAAAGAUUAAAUCAAUCCUAUAUCCUUGACUGACAUAAUUUACCUUAAAAACUCUAUAUUUUAACCAAUCCCACCUAUAUGAUUUUUCUGUUUUCCUAUACAUAAAUUAAAGCUUACUUGGAACCAAGUCAUUGUAUUGUAUUUCACGUAAUUGUUUGAAGCAGAUCCUCAUCUCCUCCAUCUGCAUUGAAGGAAUAGAUGUCGACCGGGGCCAUCGUGCAACCCAUGGCGUUCUGCUUGGUUCUUUUAUUACGGGAGGAGCCUCGGUGUUUGUCUAGAUAGAUUACAAUCACGGUGAUAUCGUCGUGAAAAUGGCGCCUUAUCCCCUUUUCGAUUUUCUUGAUGUCACUGUAUCUCAUCUCCCUUUUCUUUGCAACUUCUUGAAGUGCAGCUCUUACCAAUCUCUUGGCAAUACCCUGCAAGCAUUCAAGCAAACAAAUAUCAAUACCGAAAUGCGUUGCAUUUCCAUACGUUUCAUUAGGUUAAUGGAAGAACACGAAUACUCACGGCUCUCGGGUUUUUGAAAACGAUGUUUACAGCAGCUUCAUCACUCAACUGCUCCCAUAGGCCGUCUGAUGCAAAGAUGAGGAAUUGAUCCUGGGGCUUCAGCUUUCUAAUAAGGAUCGAGGGUUCUGCUGUAAUAACCGGCCUUUUAAGAGGAACGGGGUUUCCGAACUGCUGGAAGAUCGGAUCUCUAUAAAACUCAGGUUUCUUCAGGUAAACAUCACCUAUAGAUCUUGACACCUGAAAUAAGACGAACAAAAAUGGCUCAGACCAGCAUGACCACUCACAUGCUCAAAGAUCAUGUAUUAAUCAAUCAUCUCCAGUUCUACAAUCCAAUGUACGAUAAAAGCUAAUGCAUCUUAUUCUCUCGAUACUGAACGGAUCGAAGUAUAAAGCUCAACUUGCCUACUAAAGUAAAGGGGAACAACAUCACAAAAAGAGAAGAAAAACAUAAAAACGAGAGAGCAAUGAUUCCCUGCAGUUACAUAAGCCUAGCUUUAUGCUUCAGGGGCCUGCAUUUGUCCAUCUCAUGCAUACAACGCAUACUAUAUGGAAAAUAGCAGCAUGAAACAGUACUGGAAAUCAGACCAAAAUAUUCUUGGAAAAGUCGAAAAACUCAGAAUUAUAACCAUUUUUUAGAAUGAACUUUCAUUCUAAUGCACAAUGUAUACAUCCAUAAUUAUAUUAUACCUCUCCAUCAAGCAAAAAGAAACAAAUGGGUUGCAAGCAAUGCCUACGAAGAGGAAGUUAAUUGGCAACUAUUUCUAGAAUCAACACAUUGAUCAUUCCUCAAGCAGACUAGUUUUGAACUAAACGAUUAUAAAUCAACUUGUCAAUAAAAUUGUACCUGGAUUAUGCCCUUAAUCCUCCAAACUCCGUGGGUGUAAACCACUAUAUGUGAGUCAUCUGGAUGAAGUUCCUCGACCUCCUUUCGAACUUCCUCAACUCCAACAUUAUGAUCAGUUGACAACCUCUCUGCCACUACUGUGUUUUCCUUAUCCCCCGAAGCUUUCCUGCCAAGAACAGCUCUCGAGUCACCGAGAUUUGCCACGUAUAACACAUCAUUCGAAAUUGCACCAACUAGACAGCAUGAUCCAACCGAAGCAAUUUGAGGCCUCACAGGCAAUGAUCGCUUCACCAAACGCAAAAACUCCUCUUCAGUGGCAUUGAAUGCCUUCUUUAUCACAUCUGCAGAUAAUCCCCCUUGUUCUGUAGCAAAUUCUACAAUGAAUAAAGAAAAAAAAAUUAAGGGUCUCCAUCAAUCUUUUUUAGAAUCCAAGUGCAUGCUUAUCACUGAAAAGGAUGCAAAACAAAGAAAAAUAAAUGACCUGAAAAAUGCCAAAACUUGAACUACACUUACUAAUUAUUCUGAAAAAUUCAAGUCCAAACAACCCCAAGUAGAUACAAAUUUAGACAAAUAGUUCAUAUUCUCUUUUCCCAUCAAAACAGACAUAGUACUACAUGACUAUGGAGCGGGGCAAGAUAGAUAUUGUCAAAUUCAUUACUGUUCCAUUGUUGGCAUGAUCUGCCUCGACCCCACUCUGCUUCGCCGUAAAUGUUAAAACUUGAAUAUCAUUACUUUUAAUAUGCAUAAUCUAUCAAUACCUCACCUAAUAUAUACAUUUUUACUCGUUUUAAAAGCUAAAUAAAUAAGAAUAAGGCAAAUAUCAAAAUUAAGUGCCCCAUAGGUCCCUCUUUUACUGUUAAAAAUUAGAAAAAGAAAGUCUAUUUGGAGUCAUCAGUUCGAAAUCUAUCAAACUAAAUACAUAUUUGAUGAUUCCAUAGACAGCUUAUGAUUUUCCUGACAAGGUCGUAUCCAUAUACAUACAUGAUCACAUGUUCAUUCAUGUCAUACAUACAUACAUACAUACAUACAUACAUACAUACAUACAUACAUACAUACAGAAUAGAAUGGGAAAAAAGGAAUGUUGCAAUAAAGAGGGAAAAAGGGAAUUACUGUGGAGAAAAGGGAAGAGAUGUUUGUUAACAAAACGGGAAGCUUCGGGACCGCCAUGACCAUCGUAGACGCCAACGUAGGUAGCAAAAGGAGAGGCCAAGACUUGGCUUUGAUCUUCGAGGCAGUUGUUAGCCUGCACGACGGCGAUGGAGAAAUCACCGGAAGCGUGGGGUUUAAGGUCAGCGUGCCACAUGAGAGCAUCCCCACCAGCUCUAACGCCAAGACAACGUUCGAGCGGCCUGGAAAGGGAACGUAACAUCAUCAUCAUCGUGUUUAAAAAAUAAUAAUAAUCCCUUUAUAGGGAAUUUGAUUAAAUGAAAACCUCUUCGAUGGUUUCAAUGGGGGGUUUCACUUUGGGGGAAGAGGAAAAUGGGAAGAUAUUAAGAGGGAAAGAGAGAGUAGAAAGUGGGGUAAAGUGAAUGGAAAAGAAAUGCCGCGUAAAGAGAGGAAGAUGAUGAUGACCAACGACCCCCGAUACUUGCUGUAAUUACUUCCCACUCUACGCGUUAACUAAUACCCUUUUUCUUCUUUUUUGACUUUUAAACCCAAAUCCUUUUUUUAUUUUUAAUUUAUUGAACGGAGAAGGUUAGGUCUAAUUUAAUAUUUCAAUUUUUAAAGAAUCGGAUCGGUGGUUGAAUUAUUCUCGAUUUAAUCUGUUAAUUUAGUUUAACUUAGAUUUGUUCAGGUGGUUCGAUUUGAAGAUUUGUUCGAAAGAGGAGAGAAUUUGGAUAAAAAUAUAAGCUUAAAAAAUAAAUUUUAAUAAAAAAAAUAAGGUACAUUUUUUAAAUGGGUCUCAAUAGAUCCAAACAAGAUAUACAAAUUUCUAAUAGAUCAGAUAAAAUCGCAAAGCAAAUAAUCCCAAGAUUCAAUUAUUCAUUAACUACCCGUAUAUCUUAAGAUUAAGAAUUAAAUAUUUUUUUAGUAUUUUUUUUUUUUGCGAGGAGCUGGAUGAGAAGAAACUCUCAUGUCCAGUUCUGUAGUAGAGAUGGAAUUCAUAAACAACAACCAUCAACUAUAACCCCAAAAGAACUCGAUUUCGUAAACGAGUCUCAAUAUUUUUUUGUUCGGGCCCAACCUAACUUGGCUCGAAUUUACCAAAAAAAAUUGUUAUGCUUUGUCACUAUUUUGCUGUUAUUUCGCUAUUAUAUUGUUACUAUUUUAUUAUUUUUGUUUAGAUAUUAUAUAACUAUUUUUUUAUUAUUGAUUUUGUUACUAUUUUAAAGGCAUUUGCUUGCUAAGUUGCACGUAUCUUAGUGUUAGUUGAGUAUAAAUAUUUUUUAAAAUUUUAUUUUCAAUAUAAAUAUUUUUAAAAAUUUAUUUUCAAUUUAUUGGGAAACAUUUAUUUUAAUAUUUUUAGUCUAUUUAAUGUAUUAUAUUUUUUAGAUUUGUUUUUAUAUAAAAAUAAAAAUAUAAAAAAAUUAAUACAAGCAAGUCGGGUCAGGCAUGGGUUUUAGCGUUUUUAUCCAGGUCAAGCUUAAGUAAAAUUUUAGGCCAAUUUUUCGAGUCAGACUCAGGCCUAGAAAAUAGGCCUAAAAUUUUAUCUCGGUCCAGCUGACCCAUGGAUAGCUCUAGUUCAGCCCCUUUGUCUGAAUUGAUAUAUCAAUCGAUUUAUUGGUUCAACUAGUUCGAUUAGUUGAUUUGAUUUGAUUCAAAAACACUAAGGGUUAUUUCAAGUUUAACUUAAUUUGUAUUUGUGCCGUUAGUUUGAAUUGUUUUGAUUUUAAAUCAUUCAAAUUCGACACUUAAUUUUUUGAGUCAAAUCUUUUUGGGUCUAUUUCAAAUUAUAAUUUUAUAAAAAGAAAGUGAAUUGAAUAAUAUCAAUGUUAUUAAAUUGGGUCACAAUUAAUAGGCGUACUAGAAUCUAAUUACAAAUAUAUAUCCAUAAGACAAAACCAAAAAUAAAGGAUUAACAUCUGACAAAGGAUUGACAAUGCAUUGUCCACAAAGUUAUCCACAAAUUUAAUUAGACACAAAACAAGAUAAACACUUACUAAAUGUAUGUAUAUAUGAUUAAAAUAGAGGGGUAACGUGAAUUCCGUAAGUUAACCUAACGAUUAAGAUACUCAUCGUUUCAAGGGUGAUUUGGGAUUGAGUCGCGUUAAUCACACCCUUAAUAGGGAUUUGCCCUCUUCUAGAAAAUGGAGGACUAAAAGUUUGAAAUCUUAUUUAGUAUUUACAGCCAUGAUUAAUUCUCUUUAUGAUCUCCACCCAUACAAUAAAUGUGAAAGGGGUAGCAGUAUAAAUAACAUGUCUUUAUAGGGGGCCGCCAUUCAAGAAUAUCUUACUUCCUCUGAACCUGACAGUGAGGCAUGGAUAGCAACUUACCUAACACAUGUAUCAAAUUCAACACUAAAAUUAAACUCAUAUACCAAAUUGAAAUUUAAAAAGAAAAACUCAAAUACAAAAUUCGACAUUAAAAUCAAACGGAAGUACCGAAAAACAUUCAUAAACCUUUUCCUUUGUUUUUGCACCCGUCAAAAUUCCAAGACUUACAUAUCUCUAAUUAAGAGCAUCAUCAUUUACAAAAAUUAAAAAAUUAAUCCCUCUACUUUAACUUGUUAUAAUUUGACCCACGUAAGUUAUAACAAUCGAAAAGUUAAUCUAAUUAAGUAAUAUUGUUAAACCUUAUUAUUGGAUUGUUUAUUUGGAAACCAGUAAUUUAACAACUUAUAUGCAACAAAUUAACAAAACUCAUUUGUUCAAGUUCAUGUUUUGAAUAACACCUGGACUCACUUUCCAAUUUUCAUAAGCUACAAUGACUAAAUUUUGACAAAUUAAAGUAGAGGGACCAACUUCUCAAUUUUCAUAAAGUAAGGGAUGAAAAUCAUAAUUAGACCAUGUAUAUGUUCUAUCGCGUAAGUUGGGGAUUGUUUUAUAGUAUACUUCUACAGUAAGGACAGUCCCCACACGUUCUGAGCCAAGGAUCUAAGCAAGCAAAGUGAAACCUGUGCCCACACGGCAGCUGAGUAAGCACAUCUCCUUCUCCGAAGCUUUCAAGGCAUAUACUGCAAUCUCUUGAUUCCCUUGAUGUCUUUCUUUCAACAUUGACGUCUUGGCUGCCGAAAAUUUCCAGUGGCAAACGGUCCAGAGCUUCCUGAGUAAGUCCAGGAGGCUUCUUGUUUGUUUCUCGUAACAAUUCGAACCUUUCUGCUUCAGAGGUUAAUGGGGAACCCCUAGCUGCCAACCCUGUAGAGAGUUCACUUAUGAUCCUAAAAUCAUCGCCCGUUACAUGCUCCCGGUGGUAAGCAUUAGGUGGAGCUCUAUUGCUUCGCCUGAAGAAAACAACAGGAAGAAACCGUAAUGAGAAGGAAAAGAAAAGAUGUACAAAAUGUUUAAAUAGCGGUUAAUGCAAGACCUAACAUAUAUGUGUCCAUUAUUGAAUGCCACACCAAGUAAAAUUCAGGAUCGAGUGGUCCACAUGCUUCUCUCAAGCAGUAGAUGGUAGUUAGGAAACGAGUAACACUAAUUCGCUGUGUACAUGAAGUGGUAGCAAAAGUGGUCUGGCUAGUCAUAGUGGCUAAUGAUGUUACUACUUAGAACCUAUGUUACUCAGACUCGGGCAUGGGUUUCAGAUAUGGAUAUGUAUCCAAUACAGGUAUGAUUACUUUUUCUAAGUUUUUCCAUAUAUUUAGAAGAUCCUUGGAGGUCAUAUCCUCGUAUUUGUGUGUCGGACACGAGUGAAAUGAAGAGUCCAAGCAACAUAGCUUAGAACCACUAAUAUUACCAUAGAAUAGGAAGCACCAGCAGUGGGACUGGACCAUAUUGAUAGUUAGCAAUGCGAGAACAACAGGCACUAAUGGGCAGAAAGCACCAAUAACAGCAGUGGGCCUGGAAAUUAAGGUACUACUGGUAGGUAAGGAGUGACGAAAGCAAUAUCAGCUUGAAUGUAUUAGCAGAAAUGGGACAGAAAUUUCAAGCAUAAAAACAUAAAUUCAAUCUAUUCAAGAAUAUAUAAAUAUAUAGAGAGAGAGACUAAAUUCAACUUAAACGAUGAGACUAAAUUCAACUUAAACAUUUUCAAGGAAAAAAGAAAAAGCCUGCCAAAACAUGAUUAUGUUAGGCAAUUCCAUAGAAGAAAGUUCAAAUUCACUAGUGACAACCCACCCGACUGACCAGCUGAAAAGUCCAUGGUAAGUUAGAAAAUAGUUUGGACUGAGUGAAAUUAGUCUCAACAUUAACUGACUACAAUCCCUAACAGCUCUAUCAUAUGAUACAGUAUCUCUAUUCUUACGGCUAAACCAAGUCAGACUCCUAGUGCCCCUAAUACAAUACUACAUAUUUAUCAUUUGGAUUCACUAAUAAUAAGGUAGCACAAUGAACUGCAAGGCACUGAAUCUUCCUACAGGUUACGAUGCAAAUUGCUCAUAUGAUAGACACUUCUUUUGAUCAUAUUGCACCCUCAACAGAUCCACAAAAUCAAAGUUCAAGAGCAAAAUCAUUCUGAAUUUAGGUAAAACUUUCACAGACACAGAGUUCCACAUGAUUUGUCUAUCCUAUCAUCAAACUUCAGAAAUAAGUAAUAGAGAAGAGAUGUGCUGUGCUGUCUUUAAAAAAUGAAAUUUGUGACAGACCAAGAAUAGUGGGAUAAAUUUGGUCCAACUAGAGUAGCAAAACAAAUUGAGUGCCACAGGCAAGUUCACCAUCAAUGAUAAAAGUGGCUUCCAAUUGGUGUCAAAGAUCAUGCAGAUAAGAAAGAACAUGAUUCAAUAGCUAUUAUAUUUACUUGUUCUUGCAGUUUGACUAGUAAUAAUGCUGUACAUAAUACAUGGACAAGAAAUGCAAACACUAAGAGUGGCAAAUUUGCAGAGAGCACUAGGUAACCUGUUUGCAGAAACAGACACGCCUCUUAGUCUUUCAACAAGCCUUGCUCUUGCAAGCAGCACAGCUCCGGGAAGCCUUUCAUUUGCUCUCAAACUUUGCCUGCUUGAACUGCUAACACCAUCUGCAUUUAAUCCAUAGCUCGAACUGAGCUCGCCAGUACCUUCAUCAAACCCUUCUCUAGCAAGCCUCUCACUUGAUCUCAAACUUUGCCUUCUUGCAUUGCUUACACUGACUGCAUUUAACCCAUUGCUCGAUACAAGCUCGCUGGUACCUUCAUCAAACCGCACUGAUGAACGCUCCUGAAAAAGUAAUAUCCAAAUAUAAGCGAUUCAGGCGAGGAGAAAUAAAUUACGUAGACGAGGUAAUAAUAUCAAACUUCCUUGUUUAUUCUUGUAUAUGUGGCAAAAACUUACUGCAAGUGAGCUUAGGCUUUGCUUGGUACCAAAGACGGAAACAUGGAAAAUUUGUUCAUCAAAUGUUAAGAUUCAUAUCCACCUUAUUACUUUGUAACUUAACCAUCAGAUAAACAAUUUUCCAAUUCACUCCUUUCCAUCCUUCAUAACAAGCAGAGCCUUAGGGUUUAGAAAAUUGUCAAGAAAAUACCUAUUCUUCAGUAAUUUCACUGAUAAAUUUAGCUUAAAACUACUAAUUUUCGGAGCAAAGUUCAAUAUUGGAGCAUAAAACAGACAACGAAUAAAGUACCAAUAAAUUGGUUGAAAAUCCAAUUUUUAAAUUAAAAAUAAAUAAAUAAAAGUGCGGUUUAUUUUCCCUUCCAAAAAUAAUACUUAAUCCACCCCCAUUUUUCCUUUAAUUUCUCUUUUUUUUCUCAGCAAUAAAAUAAAAACAAAUACCUAACAAGAAAUAAAUAAUUUGAAAAAAAAAGGUAAAAGAGAAAUUGAGCGUACAGAGAGCGAGGAAGCACGGGAGCUGAAGUGGCGCACGUGGGGAGACCGGCGGAAGGAAUCACCGCCGUCCAAAUCAUGCCUCUGAUUGUGAUGACUGAGAUGAUUCCGGCGAUGGUAAUUCCGUUCAAUUGAGGACCCAAUCCCUAAAUCCGGAUCGGGUCGACCCACUCUUGACCUUCGUGUGUAGAAUAACUCCGAAGCGCUUGUCAUCCAACUAAAACCCCCAAAUGGUGUUUUGAUCUGAUCUUACCAAUUAAAAUUUAUUUUUAAUUUCUCCAAAAAAACAAUUAAAUAAACAUGAAAAUUGUAAUUUGGAUUAAGAAAUAAAGGAGAGAUGUUGAUGAGCCCUACGAAGAAACGCGGGAGAAAUUCCUGCGAAUGAAAAUCGAUAGCCUUAGCUUCAAAGAAAAUGAAUGGAAAGGGAUGUGUGUUUUUUAACCCUAAAUGGUUUAAUUCCGGUUUUAGUCCCCCUCCUAUGCUAAAAUUUAAAAUUUAAUCUAUAUAUUUUAAUUUUAUAUAAUUUCAUCCUUGAUUUUAAGAAAUAAUAUUUGAUACACCGCUAAUACAUUAUCAUCGAACAAUGACAUGAUACUUCAGGAAAAACAAAAUUAGUGAAAGACUUAUCAAUAAAUAUUAACAAUUUUAUUUAGUGUUUUGAUUUUUAAAUUUCACAUUUCGAAUUUUAGAUAUAUUUAAAUAAAAUUAUUAAUAUUUAUUUAUAAGUCAUUCAUCAUUUUUUAUUUCAUUAGCAUUGAAAUGUCGUGGUUGACGAAACUUAUACAUCAACGAUAUAUCAAAUAUUUAUUUUUAUUUUUAUUAAUUUCUAUCAUUAAAACGAUGAUGUGAAAUCUUUUAUUGAAAAUUUUGUUAUGGUCAAGGUAGCCAUAAUAUAUGUUUUUUUAAUACAAAUUCUCGAUAACAAUUAGUAAUAUUAAGAAUAUAAAAAAAGUAAAUCAUGUUAAAUUAAUCGGUUUAAGGGUAUAAAAGGUUCUCAAAUUUAAAAAAAAACAAUUAAGUCUCUGUUUUUUCACUCGAGUAUUUUAACUUUCAAAAAUGCAUAAAAAGACUCUCAAACUUUUUCAAAAAAAGCAAUUAAGCCCAUACUUUUUUUUACGCUCAAUUGGGCACUUGAACUUUCAAAAUACAUAAAAAAAAAAUGCCUUCAAACUUUUUCAAAGAAGCAAUUAAGCCCAUGCUCUCUCUUUUUUUUUUUUUUGCACUCAAUUGGUUGGGUAAUUGAAUUGUCAAAAUGCAUAAAAAAAUAACCUUUGAUCGUUAACUUUAAUAUUUGACCGUUAAAAUUAACUGUCUCUAAUUUUUUUCCGUUAAAGUCAUCCUUUGUCACAACCACGACAUGACAUGUGGAAAAACAAUUAUAAAAAAUAAAAGUUAUAAAAAAAUAUUAAAUUUUAAUAAAAAUAUAAAGUUUAUUAAAAAUUGUAAAAUUUUAUAAAAAUAAUAAAUAAUUAUAAAAUGUAUCAAAAAGGCCAUUUAACCAUCAAUUUUAACCGUUGACUGUUAAAGUUAACAAUCCCUAUUUUUUUUCUAAUUAAAGUCAUCACGUAUCACAACAUAGUGUAACAUGUGGUAAAAAAUGAUAAAAAAAUAAAGAUCAAUUAAAGUUAUAGAAAAAUUAUAAAAUGCUUCUUUAAAUAUUAUAAAAUGCUUCUUUUGAUACGAUAAUUUUUAUAUUUUUUAAUGAAUUUUUAUUUCUUUACAUUUUUUAUAAUUUUCUUACAAUUUUAUAAAAUUUUACCAUUUUUAUAAUUGUUUUUUAUUUUUAUAAUUUGUUAAUAAUUUUUAAUAUUUUUAUAUUUUUAUUAAAAAUUAAUAAUGUUUAUAACUUUUAUUGAUUUUUGUUUUUUAUCAUUGUUUUGCCACAUGUCACGCCAUGUUGUGCCACGGGAUGACUUUAACUGAAAAAAUUAGGGUCAGUUAACUUUAACGGUUUGACUAUUAAAGGUAACGAUCAAAUGGUAUUUUUUUUAUGCAUUUUAACAAUUCAAGUACCCAAUUGAGUAUAAAAAAAAGGUUUAAUUGCUUUUUUCUGAAAAGUUUGAGGGCUUUUUUGAUGUAUUUUGAAAGUUUAAAUACUCAAUUGAAUGCAAAAAAAAGCAGGGGUUUAAUUGCUUUUUUUUUAAGUUUGAGAGUUUUUUUGAUGCAUUUUGACAAUUCAAAUACCUAAUUGAGUGCAAAAAAAAAAGAGAGCAGGGGUUAAUUAAUUUUCUUGAAAAAGCUCGAAGACUUUUUACACCCUUAAGCCAUUAAUCAACCGACUGAGUGAUUGAAAUUUGAUGAUUUGGGAAAAUAUCCGGUGAACAUCAAUUAGAGAAAUUAAAUCUGAAUUUCAAUAUAUUAGAGGGACUAAACCCAGAAAUUUACCGUGAAAAAAAAAAGGUAUAUUUUUAUGUGUUAGUUGAAAGAGUAGCAUUUAGAUGUAACCACGCGUUAAACAAAGUGUUCCAUUACAUCAACGAUAGAAUUUCUUUUCCUUCAACAAGAUUUUUUUGCGUUGACUGUUGACCAUGGAAAAACGAUAAAUCAAAUUAUUUAUUGAAAGUGAUAUAUAUUCCUUCCAAGAGAAUUCCUUUCUUACUAUCGAGAGUUUGAUUUUCACCGUGGGUAUCGAGAGUUUUAUCUCUUAAUUAACCUACAGAAUGGAAUAAAUUUAAUUAUUGGGUUUACUCUGAUAGAUACCUUGAGAAAUAAAAUAAAAAAUCGAUAUUAAAUGAAAUAGACAUAAUAAAUUUCUAAGCUUUGGUGAAUAUAAAUAGAAAACUAAAUGAAUUUUGGUUUAGGUAAAUUUUGGAUUCAGAUUAAAUUUAAAUUUUGGUUAAUUCUUAUUCAAGUCAAUUAAGUUUAAUUGUAAUUUCAGGUUAUAAUCACUUUGAGUUUAAGACAUUUUAAGUUAUUUAUUGGGGUCAUGUCUAGUUAUUUAUUUGAAUUGUUUCAAGUUUGGAUUAAUUUGAGUCAAUUUCAUAUUUAGGUUAGAUAAGUCAAUUUUCAAGAUAUGAACUAGAGUUGUCUAUGAGCCAGGUCAUCUGGUCUGGCCUGAAGGCCCAUCCGAAAAAUGGAAGGAUUUUAACAAAAAAAUAUAUGUCAAAAAAUGAGCUUGGACAAAAAAUAAGGCUCGUUUAGAAAAUGGGUCGGACCUCGAGUAACGUUUUUUUUUACCCUGGCUUUACCCAGAUUUGCAAUUAAAAAAUUUGUUUUUUUGCUAAAAUUUCACUAUUAUGUUGUUUCAAUUUGUUGGGAAACAUUCAUUUUAAUAUUUUUAGCGUAUUAUAUUUUUAAAAUUUUUUAUAUAAAAAAUUAAUACGGCCAGGCCAUGCCCGGGUUUUAGCAUUUUUAUCUAGGUCGGGCCUGAGCAAAAUUUUAAGUUCAUUUUUUGGGCCAAUUUGAGCCCAAAAAUUUAUCAGAACCCGACCUAACUCGAUCCAUGGACAACUUUAUAAAUAACUAUUUAUAUAUAUAAAUAUAAAUAUAUAAAUUGUCCAUGAGCUAUUUACUAUUUAGAGUAUUUAAAUAUGUCGAUUGAGAUUUAAGUUCUUUUUAUUCUGAGAGGUAGAAUAGCAUAAUUCAGCUAACGUAUAAUGAUCAUAUACCUCUAAUGCAUUAUAUGUCUCAUUCUUCUAUCAUUUUAGGGAGUUGAUGAUUAUUCAUAGCUAUUAUAUUGAUAUCAAAAAAGAGUUCGACCCAAUAACCAAAUACUUUUGCCAGAUUGAUUUUGGAUUAGAUUAAUAUGUUUUUGGUCAAUUUGAAUUUUAAAAAAUUUCAAAUUAUUUCAAUUUCGAUUAGUUUUAACUUUGGAUCAAUUCGUAUUCAAUUCUAUUUUAGGCUCAGAAUUAAAUGAAUCGAGGUAUUAAAUUUAAUGAUUUGUACAUACAUUUUGUGUAAAUCAUUUAAAUGUAUAGUUUAUUAUUAACAAAGUAAAAUUUUAUUUAAAAUAUUUUAAAUACCACUCUAACACAAUUACAUAAUUCAUAGAUUAUAGAUUACACUAGCAUUGAUAGUUGCAGCUUCUAAUUCCAAAAUAUUUUAUUCAAAUUUCAUAAAAAAACCCCUUCCCCUGUCUCCAUGACUAAUUUUGUUUGAUCAUCACAUAUUUGCAUGGGAAUAGUGUUCAUCAUGAACCGAAGACUCCGGUUUAUCAACACCGUCGACGCUUCGAACCCAGUAACUUGAACUGAAAGAAGCCGCCCGGUCCGGAACGUCAUCCAUCACCCAUUCAUGGCCUUUGGGGAAAUAUAUCCCACUCUUUGGAUGUGGAACCCAACUCGAUGAACCUUUUAUAUCGUUGUUACUCUUGCACUUCUUAUUGAUCUCUCGAUCUGCGCCUGCAAUUUUGCUCAAUGGUCGCUCAACGCGUUUUGCUUCCCUACACCCGAAUAAAGUUUCCAAAAGUCAAAUAUGUUUAUUAAGUUCAUAAUGAUUUGCUUCUAAAAUUUGUAUUCUUGUAUGGUUUUUUUGGUAAAAAAUUUAAUUUUUGGCUUUUCUAAAUACAAAACAAAUUUCAAAUUUCAUUUUUAACUAAACAAAAACAUCUCAAAACUAUGACUCAAACUUUAAAACGAUCUCAAAUGUUCUAAUUGAAUCCUUAAACAUAGAGCAUACUUAAAACACGUCUUAAAUAUGCUCUGCAUCAAACAUAAACUAACAUUUAACACCCAGAUAGACAUGACAAAAAAAACUUAGUUGGUACGAUACUAAUAUUUUUAGGACCCAAUUAAACCGUUUUAAAAUUUAAGGACUAAUUUUUAAAAAAAUCAUUCUAUAGAUUAAGAAAGUCUGUUGUAAUCAACCCAAAGAAUAACGACAACAUUACGUACCUUAGCAUCAAAAUCUUGGUUUUGGUAAAAGCAGCUCUUCCCAUGCAAUGCAGCUCUUUGAAACCCCUCAAAUUGUAUAAUGCAGCUCUUCAAAGGACUCCAAUGCAAUUAUCUAGGAUUUGAUCGUUUGAUUUAUAUAAUGCUUUCGAAAGUGCAGUUUUUGUACUUUAAAUUGUAUCCGAACGAAUGAAUAAAGGUUUGAGGAAUAAGUUCGAUUGCGAAGGUCUUCUCAAAUUUAAAAAUUUAGAAUAUGCUAUUUCGUAAUUUCCUCUUUUUAUUUUUAUUUUAAAAAAUUUAAUCAUUUUAUAUUUUUCGGAUUUAAGUAUACAGGUCCAAUUAUUAUUAAAAGUGAUUUGAUUAAAAAAUUAAAAAAUAUUUCGAAUUUCGAGUUAAUCGAAUUGAGUUGUUCGAUUUUUUUGAAUCGACCCGAAUAAGUAAUUCGAUUUCGAGUCGAGUUAAAUUUUACAAUUCGAAUAACAGAUUAAUGUAAAUACUCAUUUGGUCCCUGUCAAUUUAAAAAAUGGACAAAUUUGUCUCUCUCAACAAAGUUUACAAAAAAAAAUUCAAAAUAAUUUUCAAAAAGUUUUAAAUAAUUUUUAAAAUUCAAAAUUUAUAUUUAAAAAAUUAUAAAAAUUCUAAAGAAUAUAUAAAAAAAACUUAUUCUUUUUAAAUAAUAAUUUUUGGGAAAAUUAACUAUUUAAGUUUAUCAUACUAAAAUAUCUUCUUUUUUUCUUAUUUUGCUUUGAAAAAGUUUUCAAAUUUAUGUGCUCUAACAUUGAAUUAGUUAUAUUGUAACAAUAUUUUAAUUUGACAUAUUUAAUUUUUUAAUUUCACUCGAUUCAAAAAAAUUUCUAAUUGAGUUAGUAUGACAAAAUGAGACUCGUCAACUCGAUUCACUCGAAACUUUUUCACUUCAUUCGAUCGAAUGCUCACUCCCAACUAACAUCAUAAAAAUUCGUUUGUUAAAUUUAGGUUCGUUACAAUAUUAAUUUUUUAUUAUAUGACUAUCAAACUGGAAAAUAAAGAGAUAAAUAUAUAUUUUUGGUACUUAUGUUUAGCUUUGAUCUUAAUUUUCCUACUUACGUUCUUUUUUCAAAUUGGUACUUAUGUUGUCUUUAAUUACACAAAAUGGUAUCAAAUUUAGUAUAUGAUAUAUGUCGAUGAUGAUGUCAUAAUAACAUUUGGGAAAUUAUAAAAAAUAUAAAAAAUUCUAAUGUUUGAUACCAAAUAAAAAUAAUAUAAAUUUUUUAUAUUUUCAUAUUUUUAUAAAAAGGUAUCUUUUUUAUGAAAAUAUAAAAAUCAAUUUUUUUAUAAAAAUCAUUUUUUAUAAUUUUAUUAAAAAUUUAAAUCAAAAUCAUGAAAAUAUUCAUGAAGUUACAAAAAAGAAUUACAAUUUCUUACGUGAAAUAUAUAUGUUGUAUUUCUAGAAAUUUUUAGAUUUGUAAUAUCUUUAAAUUUUUGGAUAAUGACAUUAUCAUCAUCACAUGUCAAAUGAUCAUUGGACCACAAAAUAAAAGUUAGUAUCAUUCAACUUAGGUACCAUUCUGUGUAACAGUAGUCAAACAUGGGUACCAAUUUGAAAAAAAAUGAAUAUUGAAAUCAAACAUAUGUACCCAAAAAUAUAUUUACUUUUUUUACUAAAAUGGUUUAAAUUAAAUUAUUAUUUUUUAAGAGGGGUCAAAAAUGAAAAUUUUCAUUUAAAAAGAAUUAAAAUAUUAAAUUUUAGGAGGGGCUAAGAUGCAAUUCCAUUACCAAGGAAGCAAAGCCUCUAACUGCCCUGAGUUCGUCAUUGUCAUUAACAAUUUACGUCAUGAACGAAGUUUAGCGCGAAGUUUGGGGACAAAUUGUGGCCUUGACCCUCUUACAUUUAAAAAAUUCAAUUUAAUCUCUUUUAGCCCAAUUAUUAAGGGGAGGUCAACUUCUUUAAAAGAAGUUGCCGAAGUAUCAUUCAUUAAGGCUGGCGAAUUCCUCAAUAAAUCGGUAUUAUUUCAAUUGAAAUUUUGUCUCCUAACUCUAUCGAGAAUUCAAGUGCUAAAAGAAUUAACGGGUUCACAAAACAAAUGUACAUUCUGUUACUCCAAAUAAACGAGAAUUAACAAAUUUCUCCCCAAAAAAUCCGCCUCCUCUCGUUACCUCUUUUUCAAAAGUAAAUCUUAAUUCGCUCAGGGGAUUUGGAAUAUUGAGACUUUUUUAGUGAAAAGAGUGGCAAAUUGGUGUGACACCUAAGGUCACUUUUAACAUAUAGCUCUAAAUUUUUAGAAACAUUGUGAAUCGUUACUUCAGCAUAUGCCUCUUGUUUUUUCCCUUCUUUCACCAGAACAUAUUCAUAUUCAAUGCAAAUAACUUAUCUCUUACACAUUUGAUUGUUGGUUAAAUUCGAGUUUUAGUCCCUAUAUUAUACUUAAUUUAAACUUUAGUCUUUAAUGUGACGUAAUCUAACUUUCUUACUGUUAUCGGUGUUAUUCUUUAGUCUAAAUCCCUAACAUCAACACAACUCGAAAUUCAUUAUAUCAUUUAAACAUUAAAAUUAUUUAUUUAACUUGUGAUUUAAAUAAAAAUUAAAUUAUGAAAUAUCCACGAUAUGGAUAAAAAAAACAAAAUUAUGUGUCAAUUAUAUUUGUAAAAAAAAUGAAAUUUUAAUUACAAUGAUAAAGUUCAAAUUAACUUUAUAUAAUGCAAUGAUGUUUUAGUCAUUGUUCAAUUGAAUUAGUGCCUAAUAACUCGUAACACCAAUUUAAUUAAUUAUGAAUAACAUUAAGUUUUAUUAUCUUUCUUUCUUUAAUAGAUUACGGUCGACUACUUAAAAAAAUUACAGUUAAUUAUUAUUUUAUAAGGUAAACUAUCAAAAUAGUCACUUUUGUUUCUUUCAGGUUACAUUUUAGUCACUUAUGUUUAAAAUGUUAAGUUUUAGUCACUUACGUUUAUCGUAUUGUAACAUUUUAGUCACUGAGCGUUAAUUACCGUUAGCAGUGUAACAAUAAAGCUAAUGUAACACGUUAAAUCAUCAAUUCAAACGAAAAUUUUAAGUUAAAUUAUAUAAUUGGUCCCUAUAUUUUUUUUGAGCAAUUUAAUUUUUUUAUUUUAUAUUCUUUGAAUUUUUUUUAAUUUUCCGUUCUCUUCUGUUUCUCCCUCUAUUUUCCUCCGUUCUCCGUCUCUUUUAACUUAAUUUUUCUAUGUUUUUCAUUUCUUAAAAUUUAUUCAUUUUUUUCUUUUAUGUAUUUUUUCUACGUUAAAAGAUAUGGAGAAGGGAUGAAAAUAGAGGAAGAAGUAGAAGAGAAUGAAAAAAAAAAGAAAAAAAAAGGAAAGUUAAAAGAAACAUAAAAGUAAAAAAAUUAAAUUCCUCAAAAUAAAAAAAUAUGGGGAUCAAUUGUAUAAUUUAAUUAUUUGAAAUGAUGAUUUAACGUGCCACAUCAGCUUACCGUUAAUGACAAUUAACGGCCCAGUGACUAAAAUGUUACAACACUUUAACAUAAGUGACUAAAAUGUAACAAUUCAAACAUAAGUGGCUGAAAUAUAAUAAUUGAAACAUAAGUAACUAUUUUAACAAUUUAUCCUAUUUUAUAUUAUAUGAAAUAACAUUAUAAAGGCUAUUUAUAUUAAAAUAUUAAUUAAUAAAAUCAGUUCAACCAACGAAUUUAGGCAAUAAAUAACUAAUAUUUAGUAGAAAAGGGUAGCACCUCAAAGACAAAGCCAGUGAGUACUUUUUUUUUUAAUCGAAAGCUCCCUUCCAUAUAUUUUUUGAUUUUUUUUAAUUUCUUCGUAGUUAAAUCAUUAAUGGUUUGUUGAUUGAGUCUUAACUCAAUUGAUAUAGAUAUUAUUGUUAAUGUAGGAGGACGUGAGUUCGAGUGCGCUAAAGUGUACUAUCCUCAUGUUUAUAGAUUGAAGAGAGACUAGAGCAGAUAUAAUGAAAACUUAUAAUAAGAUUAUUCAGAAAAUCAAUUUCACAAUUGAGUAGGAGAUUGAAUAUUAUAAAAAGAGUAAAUAAAUAAUAAUAAUUUUAUAGAAAAUAUCUUCAAAUCCCAACAAGAAGAAUAUAUAUAAUAUUUGGUUUGGUCAAUCACGAAAAGAACUUAGAUUUUAACAAAAUAUAUUAAUUUUUAAAAAAGAAAAAAACCAAACUUUUUGUAGAAUAUAAUUUUUUUUUAAAAGGAAAGAAUAUUUAAAGAAAAACAAUUGUCAUAAUAGAAUUACUCUUUAAAUUGAAUCGUAUAUGACUAUGAGAUCUUUGGUCGGUUUUAAGAGGUCUCGAACAAUUUAGAAGUAGAAAUCAAAUCUUUUGUUACUUACAAUGUUUAUAUGUUUAGUUGACUUUGAAUGAUUACAAAAAUUCAUUCAUUAACUUUUAUCUCAUCAAGUGUUUUUUUAGAGAGAUGAUCAUGCAUUGUAAUACAUUGAAGGAAACAUAUGGAUUUUACCGUGGUUAAAGUAAGUUGUUGACACCGUUUUUUUUUUGUAAAACGGGGUCGACUUGAAUUUUGAAAAUGAAAACAAAAAUGAAGUUGCUACCAAUCCUUUUUUAUGAGCUGUGAUCGGAUCACCUCGAAAAGUGGUUGUUUUUAAUAAAUGAUUUGGUUUUAUUAAAAUAACGAUUUUGGUCCACGAAAUUCAAAAAAAUAGGUUCGGGAUUCGGUUACAUACGAGGAAGUAUUAGCACCCUCGUAACGCCCAAAUUUGGUAUCAAAUUGAUUAAUUAGCGCUUUAGUGUCGAAGAUUGAAAACUUUGAAGAGUUUUAAAAAAUACGAUCCUAAAAAUUUUUUCGAAUAAUAUGAGUUGAAAUUUAGGAUCUUCUUGUUUCGAAAGAAUAUCACAUCCAGCACGUUAAGAUACGAUACUUUAAACCCUCGAAACCAAGAUUACCUUAUGGUUCCCAAAACCCAUAAUUUGAAAUUUUAAAAGGAUAUUUGACUAUUUGGCCAAACGAGAAAUUGAAACCCAGCACGUUAGGGCACGUUUUCUCGAAUUUUCAAACGCAAAAUAUUGCCUUAUUUAGAAAAAUUUUCCUUUUUGAGGUAUGGUGUUAACAUGCAUAAUGAAAUAAUAAAUACGAUAAUGUAAAUAAAAAUAAUACGAGCAAAAACAAAAAUAAAUAAAAAAUAAUGAUAAAAAAAGACAAACCAAUUAUAUAUAAUAAUAAAUAAACAAAUAAAAAUUAAACAUUUUAAAAUAAUAAUAAUGGACACAUAAAUGAAUAAAUAAAGAAAUAUUAAGUAAAACAAUGAUAAGAAUAAAGAAAAUGAAUAAAAUUAUAAACAUAUAAGAAUGCAUAUAUGUAUAUAUGUACAUAACAAAGUUUGAAAUAAAAAAGAUAUAAACAAGCAAGUAAUAAUUUCAAUAUAUAAUAAGACCAAUAUAUUUGAAGUUUAAAUAAGUAAACAUAAAUGAUAAUAUAAUAACAAUUACAAAUGAUAAUAAUAAUCAUAAUAAUAUCUAAUUUUCUAAUAUUAUUAAUAAAAUAACUAAAAUAAUAGAACAAACAGGCUAAAUCCAAUUUUAAAACAAAAUUCGGGGUUUAAAACACAAAUAAACAAAAAAGGGUCCCCAAAGACCUAAAUAUAAUGUGCACAAAGAACAGAGGGCUGACUUGGAAAAUAUCCCAAGCCCUAUGCGCAGCGUUUUAGAGCAGACUAAAAUGAAAUGCGCGGAAAAUAACGCGACCAAAUAAAAAAGUAAAAAUGGGACCAGAUUGCACUAAGGCGCAAAAGAUGAGGGACCUCGCGCGCAAAUAUCCCCUUCACCGCAGAAACACGUGGAUCCUAAGGGUGGACGGGUCGGGUUGCGGGUCAGGGCCAAAACGACGUCGUUUUGGCACCUGACCCCUAGUUGCAAAACGACACCGUUUUAUUUAGGCUAUUUAAGCAAAAAAAAAAUCAUUUCAGCUACCACUUAAAAAAAAUCAAAGAAAACCCUUCCCCCUUUUCUCUUCCCCAAAUCCGGCCAAGGUUUCCGGUCGUAGCGCCGCCGUAGCCGGUGGCCGGCGUUGCGCAAAAGGGGCGAUUCAACCCUAGUUUUCGGCGCGCACAAAGGCGAAGCCCUUUUAAACCGAUGGGCCGCCAGAAAGGGGUGAUUUGAAACUUCUUCCGAGCUCGAAUCCGACGCCGACAAGGGGUCUCCGACAGUGCAAACAGAUUCAGGUACCUUCUCUUUUCUUUUUUUUCUAUUCGUUUUUUGUUUAUAAAAAUAAGGAAGAAAAACAAAAAAAUAAAAACGAAAAUAGAUCUCAAACUGAAAAAUAAAAAUCACCUUAAGUACUAUUUGCUUUUUUAUUUUCUAAAAUGCUCGAAAAAGAAAAUACAGAACCAAACCCUUUUACAGUAAGAUAUUCGGCUUUUUAUAGCCUAAAUUACAUGUUAUUUUUGCUAUUUUUCUUGCGUUUCUGUUGUUUGCGUGUCUUGCAAGUGACGGCACAAGUGGGGGACGGUGAUGUGAUCGUGGCGGUGGCAGACGCGCGGCGCUAGCGACUGGCAGGGCAAGUGGGCGACCCUAGGUGCGGCGCACCUAAGGCUAGGGUUACUUUUUUUCUGAAAAUAUGUUUUGAGCUAAGUUUUGAUUUAGGCCUUUUGGGCCUGUUGGGUUUAGUUGGGUUUGGGUUUGGUUUAAUUUUGGGCUUUAUGUAUUGGGUCUGGCAUGUAAUUGGACUGUUAAUUAUUUGGUUUAAUUUAUUUGAGACCGGGCAAAUUAGGCCCGGGCAAAUUGGGCCUACUACAUAAGUAAAGGGUUUUGUUUUUAUCUUAGUGAGAAUGAAAUAAAUAUAAAAUCAAAUAAUUAUAGUAUCAUUACAGUACAUUGUGGGAUUUGGAGACCCACACAUAUAAUUGUGUAUAGUGAAUCUUGAAUUUGGGUACUUGAAGUUAAGAAUUUAUUGGAAAAUAAUAUAUGAGAUUUAAAUCAAAAUAUAUUGUAACAGCUCGUUUUUCAGUGGUGUCAGAAACAAUGGUUUUGGGGCCACCAAAUUCGACGAGUAAGUUCGUAAAUAUUAUUAUUUAAUAUUUACGAGUCAAAUGUGUCUUAGGCCGUGUGAGCAUUCGAAAUAGGGACACACAGCCAUGUCCCAGCCCGUGUGAGUAUACUAACUUGGGUCACACGUAUGAGUCACACGACCAUGUGACCCCUGUAGUGUUGAAAAUUUGAAGUGUUUCUGAAAAAUUCUCUAAGUUUCUGAUUUAGUCCCGAUUUGUUUCUAAUGUGUAUUUUGGGCUUCGAGGGCUCGUAUAAGAGACAAUAUGUAUUAUUUUAAUCGGUUUUUGACAUGAAUGCUAUAUGAUAUGAAAUGUUUGCAUUUUCUGUAUGUUUAAUUUGUAAACUCUGGUAAUGCUUCGUAACCCUGUUCUAGAGAUGAAUUCGGGUUAGGGGUAUUACAGUGUGGGCUUGAACCAAUUGAAUCGAAACACGGAACUAGAAAAAAAUUUCUCUUUUGGGGUGAAAACGAAAAUUUUCUCUUCUUAAUAGAAUAUGAUAGAAUUGUUAUUCCGGAAAAAUAUAUGUAAUAGUUGAGAAUAAACUUUGUAUUUUUUUAUAAUAAUAAUAAUAUCUUAAAGUUGUCUAAAUAGCUCUACCGGUGCCAUUUAUUCAUAAGAGGAGAGUGUAGAACCUUUGUUAAGUUGUAAUGGUUUAUUUUUAAUAGAAAAACAACUUUCUACUUAGAGUAGGAGACGGGUGGACGACACACCCUAGUAUUCCUACAAGGUUGUCAUCCAUUUCCUAUCACAUGAAAGGUUUUAGGCCUCUCUUACAUCGGGUCCAAGUACUAGUACUUCUUAGGCCCUUUUGACCCAGUACUCUGUAAUGUAAUCCAACUUGAUUUAGUUUUUCUAUUUCCCAAAAUAAACUUUAAUAUUUAUAUAUAAACAAAUUUCUCAACUCAACAUGUUCACUAUAACUGAAUGGUUUAUUUUAAUUUUCGGGUUUCAAAAUAGUCCAAAAAUAUAAACUCAUUCUUCCGCUAUUUUCUAAGUAAUCCAUAUAGGAUUGCAAAUUUAUAGUUUUAUAUUUAUUUUCAUUUCUAUUUUUGGAAACCUGCAUUCACUUCCAAAUGAUUUCAUUUCUCCAUUUCGAAGAAGAACAUAAUCAUUCAUGAAUGUUUCCUAUUUCUCUUUUUCUAUUCAUUUUGUUCAUUUCUAUUCAAAGACACAAUUCAUUUAUGGUUUCAACAAGCUAACAAAGGGACUGAUUGGAUAUAUGUAGUUGAGGAUCAAAAUAUUUAUAAUUAAGUUUUGGCUUUUCGUCUAUUAAUUAUAAACUCAUUUAGUCAUGAAGUCAUUCCACUAUAAUAUUGUGAUUGAGCUAUCCUCAAUGACAUACCAUUACGAAAGCAACUACUCAGUACUUGUCCAAUGACUUUAUCAUAAGUGUGAUACCCUCAUAGGAUAUCAUUGAUCUUUUUGGGAUAAUAUUCGUUCUCUUAAUAUUAUAUUAUUUUAUCUAAUGGUAAUCAUUAUAUCUUUCUUCAUAAAAAGUCAAUCACUAUCAAAUAGUGAUCAAGUAAUCCAUCAGAAAAAUAGACGACCUGUGACGACGUUUACUUUUCAUCAAUCAUGUAAUGCCAAUGAGAGGAUAUCAUUUACCCAUGUUUUGGGCUAUGAAUUCCAUUGUUAUGAAUGACGCUACAUACUAAAAAAAUUUAUACAUCCAACACACCAGCUUUCGAUUCCUUAUCUAUUUGAACUCAGACUUUUACUUACAUCAAAGUGUACAAGUCACACAUACAUAGUCCGCUAUCCACUUAGGAUUUAGGUAUGUCACACUAUGAACGUCACAAGUAAAUAAGUCUAUAAACGGAUUCAGGAUCUAUCCUGCUUGAGUUUUGUCCGAUGUACUACCAGUCCAGUCAGUCACAUCUAUGUCUUUAUCUUUUGCGAGUUAUCCACUCCGAUGCUUAAGACAAGGCAUCUCCCAAAUUGGACUUAAUAGACGACAUAUUAAUCUUUCAAUCGGUUUGCUCAUUUUUUUAUUAGACUAAGGGCAUGUUUAGGUUCAUCUACUAAUACAAGUUGUCUUUUUGUACUACGAUCUGACCACGUAAUACUGCUUAGUAUUAGUUAAACAUUUAGAUAACCAAUAAGUAACAUUUGCUUCUAUUUUACUUUUCGUGCAAAAACCAUUUGAGAACAAUAAUACAAAGUAAUUUAAUUUAAUUUAUGAAUAAAUUUAUUAAUCAAUCUGUUCGGAAAAUUACAAUUUUACAAACGAAUACACUACACUCAAGACACCAGAUCUUAUUAGAAAAAUGGGUUUGUAAAACAUAGCGGAAAAUAAAUUUAGGAAAAAAGCAGAGUUUUAAAAUUUUUUCCAAAAUAAGAUCUUGGUUAUAAUAUUUAAGGUAAUAAACACUUAAUUAAAAUUGUACAUUUUCAAUUCGUCUAGGAUGAGUGCUUCGACCAAGUAGUCUUCUCCUCUAUCCUCAAGCUCACGUCUGUAGAGUGUGAGCUCGCUUCGAAUCAGAAAAUUUUUCACAAAAAUUACCAAUGGGAUAAUUUUACUAUUUCUUUAAACUUUUGGAUUUAGUUGUAAAUCAGAAAAAUAUUUUUAAAUUUUUUUUAAAAUAAUCUCUUCAGAGAAUUUUCUCUCUACAACUUUCUCUUGAAUUAAAGUGUGUGUAAAUAAUGACCCAAGGCUCUCUUUAUAUAGGGAGAGUUUAGAGAAUUCAACUAUGAUUAAAUUUAAUCACUUUAAUAUUAAAUAAAUAUAAUAUUUAUCAAGAUAAAUAUUAGAUUAAAUUUAAUAUUUAAUCUUAUUAAAAUAAUAGAAUGUUUAUUUAUAGGAUAAAUAUUAAAUUAAAUUUAAUAUUAAGAUAAUUACUUUAAUAUUAAAUUAAUAAAAUACUAUUAAGAUAAGUAUUAAAUUUAAUUUAAUAUUAAACUAUUAAAAUAAUAUUAUUUUUGGAAUAAUUAAUCUGAAAUCAAAUUAUCUGGUAGAAUCCCAGUAGGAGUGUAACUCUUCCGCUGCUCAACCACCGACGACCAACCGCUGCUGGCCACUGGGACGCCGCCAUCGUAGUUUCCGAUACCGCUGUGUUCAGUGAUGCAAGUAUGACACCCUUACAGCACCCCGAGCCGAUUCGACUGUUAUCGGUUCGAUCUGGGUCAAUGACGACCCAACUUGUCCGAUCUAGCCACCAGUUGGACUGUCGGUCCAGUUUCACAUAUUUGGCCCAGUUCGACCAGUUUUUGAGUCUUGGUCUCGAUUUUGGGCUCCUAGUCCAAAUUUACAUCUCAGAUCCAAUUUUCAAGUUCAAUUACCUAUUGAGGCAAUUGUUUGACUUAAAAAUUAACUUCUAAAAAUAUCAUAUCAAUUUUAAUUGAUUUGAUUAAUUUAAUUUUACUUGAUUAAAACUAGUUUUUCCAAAAUUCACUUAAAUUUUUUAAAUUAAUUUUUUAAGAAAAAUCUUUAAUCAAAUUCUCUAUUUGAACAAUUCUCAGGACCACCUAAUUUAAUUCCAUGUCGAAUAAAUUGACUCCAUUCAAUUAUUCCCAAAGUCGUAGAAUUUUCUUCUGAUCCAAAUGCAGUCUGAUAAAACAUUUGUUAAGUUAGUGGAGGGACCAAUUAGACAUAUACAAUUAGGCUCUAGUGAUUGUAAUUAUGUCCAGAAGCAUCGUUCCGAUAAUUCGCAAUUACUUGAUCAUGGAGUCAAUCCACAAGAAGUACCAUGAUUGAAAGCUCCUUAUUGUAUACUCUUUACGAAAGCAAUUCAUUCAACUGCUUUGUCCAAUUACCUCGUUAUGUGUGUGUUACCUUCAUAUGAUAUACUUGAUUCAUUUGAGUUAAGUCCGUUCAAUCAAUACAAUUCUAUUUUAUCUCAUUGUCAUCAUUUUGUCUUCUUAAUGAUUAAUAUGAUUACUGUCAGCAAAUGAUUGUGAUAAAUUGUUCGUUUGAGAAUAAGCAACCCAUGGCCACGUUCCAUAUUUAUCUAUCCACACAAUGCCAAUAAAAAGAUAUCAUUAACUCUUUAAUUGAGCUAUGAAUUCUAUUGUUGCUAGUAAAGUCAUGCCAUACACAAGUCAUGUACCCAAUAUACUGGUUAUGAGCUUGAUCAUCUUUAAAGCAUAAGCCUCCACUUAUAUCAAAACAGAUGAGUUGUAUACGCAUAGUCAGUGACUAACUUAGGAUUUAGGUAAAUCACACCAUGAACGUCACAAGUAAAUUAAUUCAUAAACGGAUUUAGAAUUAAUUCAUCUUGGGUUCAGUCCAAUGUAUCAUUCUACCGAUGAAUACAUCUAUGUCUCUACUUGUGGAGUCAACUGAUGCGAUAGCCAUGACUAGACAUCUCCCCAAUUGGAAUUGUAGACAACAUAAUAAUCUUUCUCAGUAUUUGAAUCAAAUGCUCACUUUGAUUUUUUAAUGAGAUAACAGACUCAUUUAGAUUAUCUAUUGAAGUAAGUUGUAUUUCUCGUAAUGUAAACAUUUUUUAUAAUGCCACUUAUCUUUAGUUUGAAUUUUAAACAAUCAAUAAGCUAAUAUUUUCUUGUUACAAUUUCGCUAUGCGUGCAAAAUAUAAAAGACAUAAAUACAAAAGAUAUAAUAGUGAAAUGUGAAAUUAACUUUAAUUAUUCAUCGUUCAACUAAAUAGAAAAUAGUUACUUGUCUACUACAAUAUGAGAACAUUUCCCAACAGAUCCAAUAUCGUUUCCGUUUAAUUCCCGUUUUCGACCGAGAGAACUAUAGUAAAUUGAAAUCGGAUUCAUGAGACUAAUUUGCUCACACAAGCUGACAUAUUCGGGAUGCUCACACAAGCUUCAGACCAAGGUUGCUCAUACAAUCUUAGUUCAGUGCUGCUCACACAAGCUUCAGAGUAUCCGCAACACAUGUUAGAUCUCAAUCUAUCGUAUUAAUCCUUGAUCAAACACUCGUUUUCCUUUUCAGGACCCUAAUGACAUGUUAUUUGUAUCCUAAUCCUUUACUAAAUUCACACGGCCAUUGUUACCGUUUUCGUAUAAUUUCAAACUUUGUAACAUCAUCAUAUACAUAUCAUUCAAUCAAAUAACAAUUUCACAUCCAUCCGAUACCAUAUACCUAUUCGUAUUUUUCAUAUAUUUCAUAUUUUACGAUUUAGUCCAUUUGAUGCCAACAGACAUUAUAUUUAUAAAAAUUCAAUUUAGAAAGCCAAACAAUACAAUACAAACAUAUCAUGAAUUAAUAAAGUAAGUCUCAUAUGAACUUACUUGGAAAAAACAACAACAAAUAAUACGUCAAGGACUAAUUCACAAUUUUGCCUUUUCAUUGAUUAUCCUUCGAUUGAUUUAAUUCUUGAUCUAUACCAUAAUUCAUUUCAAUUUAUCAAUUUCAAAUACCUUAUGUCAUCCUACUAUAAGCAUAAGUCAGUUCAAUUUCACUUUUCAAAUGUUUCCUAAUUUUUUCAUUUUAUUCAAUUUAGUUCCUAAAACCGAAAUUACCAUAACUUUCAAAUUUUAGCUUCGAUUUCAAAAUUGAACUCAAUUUCAUCCUUCUAUAACCCUCUAUUAUUAAAAAAUGUAGAAAUAUUAUACUAAUUUCGAAAUUCAUAUACUUUAGUCCGUAUAUUCGAAAACUAACAAUUGAACUUUACAAACUGGCCCAUUUUCAAUUCUAACCUCAAAGUCUAACAAUUUAGUAUCAAAAACUUCAAGAAAUCAACAAUGAAAACUUUUGAAAAUUUUAACAGUUUUACAAGUUGAUAUGUGGGCUAGCUAAAUCAAGCUUACAAGACUUCAAAAACAUUAAAAUUACAAGAAACAAACUAAAUCGAACUUACCUAUGGAUGACCGAAAGCUUUGAAACAUAAAACCCUAUUUCUUUUCUAAUAGUGAAGAAGAUGAAGAUGAUAAGAAAUGACUUUCAUUUCUUUUUAAUUUUUGUUUAUAUAUUUUAAUUAGUUACCAAUUAAUUAUAAUUAACUUAAUUAACCUAAGUUUAAUUAAAGCUAAAUUUAGUUAACAAUUUUGGUGGGUUACAACUAUUCCCCACCACCGAUUAACAUAACAUGAAGGGUCAAAUUUCUCAAUUGGUCCUUCAAUUAAUUAAAAUUCUAUACCAAUUAAUUUGUACCAUAUUUACAAUUUAGUCUUUGUAGAUUGAUUAUCUAUCUAUUUGUCAAAAUUAAGGACCAAAAUUUAAUUAAAUAUUAUACUAUCCUCGUAAAUAUCAAAUAAUAAUAUUUACAGACCUGAAUAUAAAAAAUGAGGUUCUAAAACUAUCAUUUCCGACACCACUAAAAAAUGAGUUGUUACAUAAUACAUUGUUAUCCGAAAAACAAAGCGAUAAUUAGUACACUAUAUUCUCUUUGUCUCAAAUAAAUUAUUUUGUUUUAAAAGGAUAUACGUUGAAAUCGAUAUCGUAUUAAGAUUAUGGAUGAGGAGACAAUUAAUUGAAUCUAUUAUAUUGAGUAAUAAUUUUGUGUUUGAAAACUACCAUAUAGUGGAGGCGGUGCUCCUAAAGAGACCAAAAGGCACAACUAACUAUUAAAACUCUAAAAGAUAUUUAGGUGCCUGAAAUUGAAUACGAAAAUAGUGAAAAUAAAGAUAUCUCAAUAUAAGUUAUGUUAAUACGAGAAAUCAUGAAACUUUAAAAUAGAAAAGUUGUCUACAACGGUUUUGUAUGCAAUAAUAUUAUUGAGAUAAUGAAAGAAAAAUGAAGUUCUUGACUAUUGAGAAAUAUAUACAUGAAAUAGAUUGACCAAAACGGGAAGAUGUAAUUCAAGUAGAAUUAAAUCCUAAAAGUUUGUGGAUCAAUAGUCUAAACGUCUAAAGGUAUAAAGCCAAUGAGGUAUAAAUGAGUGGUUCUGCAAAAACGAAAUAAGAAAUAUGAAGUUUUUCACGAAGUCCUAGCAUUAAUUAUGAAAGGUAUAAUAUUCUCUUAUGGUGGAUGCAAUAGCCUCUAGAUAUCUUUUUAGUUUUGGCAGUUUAUGAAAGAUUUGAUAUGCAUGUAACGAUUGUUGCUAUAACAUUUAUAGAAAUCACUAUAUACUGUAAGUUUAUAUUGAAAUUCUUCUGAAAUUGUUUAUUACAAUUGUGUAAAUAUUUAUAUGAAUUGAUUUGAACAUAUGUAUUAGUAUACAAUGAUAAUGAUCAACUAUGAUUAUUGUUGGAACUCCUAAUCAAAAUAUAUUUCUCUAAAGUUAGUGAAUUUGUUGAAGUGAUCAUUUGAAAAAUUAAUAUUCAAUAUUGAAAUACGUAGAAUUUAAGAUAUCACGUGAAAUUGUCAUUAGUGAGAAUAAAUACGCGUCGUACUAUUCUUUUUCUUUAACAAAAGUUUUAUCCAUUAAAUUAUCUGUUAAAGUUUUUGAGGAGGCAAGAUAUUAUGUUAAUUAUAGAUAAGUGUAUUAUUUUUACUUCUGUAAGAAUUCUUUUCUCAUAAAUUGUGAAAUCGUAUAUAUGAAAAUAACUCAUAAAUUAUAUUUGAGUAAAAAUAAUUUUGGUUAAAAUUGUUGACCAAAAUUAUUUAUUAAAAAAAACAUUUUGAAACUGUUCACAAUCCCACCGAAAGAUGGAGAAAAAUUUUCAUUUUUCAUUUUAUUUUGUAAAUUACAGUGUAUUUCAUUCGUAGAUCGACUCCUUCAAAGUUCGAAGUCUAAGAUAGCAUUGGAAACCUGCAGAGCAUACGAAUAAUUAAAAAGACAAUUGGAAAAGAAGAAUAAACGCAUCAUCGGGACAACAACAAUUAUUUGAAAUUUGAAGAAAAGACCCAUAGAUGAAAGGGAAAUGGAAAGGUUCGAAGAGAAAACUAGGGUUGCCAGCUGCCCUUCUACUGUGCUCACUCUCAUUCCUUGCUGGAUUGUUUGUUCCCACUUUUUUCUUUCAGGUAAUUCGUAAAAAUGCUUUCAUUUCCAAGUGUUUAUAACUUGGGUUUUGUGUUUAAUUAUUGGGUUUUUUUUUAAUAGGAUGUUCCGAUCAUUAAACCCAAGCCGAGAAUGCUCGAGGCAGUGCAGGAGAAGACGUAUCGUGAUCCGAUGCCAAAUGGAGUAACUGGGGAGAGUUCGAUUGAAUCUAUUCCAUUUCAGGUCAUUUUUCCAUUCUGGUUUAGUGCAUUGACUUUUGAAUGAUGAUGGCUUGGUUCAUCAUGUGAGCUUAGUUGUUAGAUUGGUGCCAUAAUUUUUGGCAAAUCUAGUAUAAAGAUUUUAGUGUGUAGUAGGGGCUGUCUAGUGUUGAACCCGAGACAGGUUUUAAUGGCAGAUUUUAACACAAGUUUUUGCCACUCCACUGUGGUUCAGUCCAAAAAGAUUUGUUUAUAAAUGCUUUUUCUUGGGAUACUUUUUUUACUUCGGUUAUAAUACUUGGCUUUAGGAUUUGAUACUUGAUAGCAGUUAACUCAUUAGUUAAAGUAUUUAUAAAAUUGUAGGUGCGAUAGGGCCUUGAGCCGAAAACAGAAAGUCGUAGUAAUCCAUGGUAAAAGCCAGAAAAAUUGGAGGAUUGGUUUAGUCUAUGAGUCAGAAUAUUCGAGUUUGCAUGUAUUUGAGAGCUAAGAUUUUAUCAAGGUGUGUUUGUGCUGAUUUAAAGAGGGGCUUUUGGAUAUUAAAGAGCGGUAAUGAUGCAGAACAAGGAUUUUAUAUGCAAAUGUUUUACAUAAUUCCGAGGUUGAUAUAUGCUAGGAAACAAUGGUCUGGAUCUUUUUUAUGAGCAUUUCUUCGGGGUGCUGCUGACUGAAGAACUAACUUCCUAUGCUUGCUUAUUGUUGAAUGCAGGUUUUAAGUUGGAAACCACGAGCUUACUAUUUUCCCAACUUUGCAACUUCAGAACAAUGUGAACAUGUAAUAGAAAUGGCAAAGGUGAACCUUAAACCAUCUGGUUUGGCUUUGCGCGAGGGAGAAACUGAAGAAAGCACAAAAGGAACUAGAACAAGGUGCCCCUUUA
rnacentral:lncRNA from 1 species